rnacentral:lncRNA from 1 species
CCAGCUUACGCGACAUAAAGACGGUAAUACAUGGGUCUAAGUUUGAUAUAGUAGUUGUGAAUCACUCAGUCAAACGAAUCCCAUUUCAUGAUAGACUAGAUAUCGUUUUCACCCAAAUGAUUGAACAUCGUGAGAUUUUUAAAUAACACUCAACAAUAUGAGGUUAAAGAUAAAGAUAACAUAACAAAAUUAAAUGGAGAUAAAUAUAUCUCCUAGAAAUACUAAAACGUCAAACACCAAAGUUAUACAAUCUAUUAUCUGACAGGAUUGACGAGGGAUGAGCUUGACAAGAGAGGCUUCAAAGGGUCCGACAUUGUGCAAAUGUAAGCGGCGGCCAUUGAGAAUGCAGAAACUAGGGAUAGUGGCCAGAGCGGCAGCUCGCUGAAAAGAAUCAUCAUCAAUGCUACCGAUAUGAAAAAGGCUAAGGAAUUGAAGACAAUGACUGAUGGGAGAAAAUAUGGAUGCUUAUUCACAAUCUGGCAGAAGGGACUUAGGCUGCUAGAAUUGCAUUCGUAGGCUUGUUCAGCUCUGCAUCCCAGGAUCUUCAAUUGUAUGUGGAAGGUUGUGGUUGAUAACAGUGCUGAGAUGAGUAAUAAUAAAUGAUAUACAUUAACGCCUUUAGAGUGCUUCUUUCCUGUUUCCAUGGGCCAGUCAUGCACCAGUCAUGCAGCAAAUUUGAAGCAGCUGAUGAGCUAGCUGUCUUCCAAGAUGAGAUGUCUAAAGCUGAAAAAUAAUACAAUAGCUGCAGAAUUCAAAUAUAAAAUUACAACAAACUGAAAAAAAAAACUGUUGGUGGCAAACGAGAUCUACCUAGAUUAGUUAAUAAAACGAACACCGAGAUAUAAAAGGUGACGAUCAAAUGAAAUUACGUAGGAAUCGCGAAAGAAAGGUUGCGGACUCAUCCCAAAGGAAUAGAAUGUUAGAUUAAUUUCUCACAUUAUGUGGACUGGCAUAAAUCAUUCUAAUUAUUUUUGAUAUUUUACCGAAUUAAUACGUGACUAAAGUCAAAUAUUGUUGAGCAAUUUUGACAGACUCAUUUAUUAAGUGAUCAAAUAUUAUGUUAAUGAGUCUAAUUUUGACAUACCCUAUACAGUAGUAUAUUAUGGACAAGUAUAUCCUUAAUUGUGUUAUUUUAGCCCAUAAUGGGAUGGGCAAUUUUGUACUAACACAUAAGAGGUCCCUGCACUCAACCGCUGUAUUUAAGUAACUUCAGCCCAUUGGGAGUUAACUGUUGGGAAAAUCAGUGGCAUGAGUGCAGUGCACCUCUCUCUCUCCCUCUCCCUCUUUUCUCUCCCGUGAGUGUGUGUACAGUUAAUUUUGAAGCAAGCCGAUCCUUGAACUGAGGCAAGAGAAAGGAAUUCAGAAGCUAGAUCAAGCAACUAGCAACUCUCUUGAGGCUCCAUAACAAGCUUUCAAGGUCGGAUUCAUGGGAGAUCACGGCAAUUUUCGAAAUUCCCCAAAAUAUGUGUUUAAUUUGGAAAUGCACGAUUAAGGGCAUAAAGUUUGUUUUUGUUUCAUCAUAGAAAAGACGGGAAAAAAAGGACAAGAAAAAUGGAAGCAACCGCGUUGUUUACUUUGUUAUUUGAUUUGUGCAGCAUGCCGCUGGCAUUUUGCAGCUUGGAAACUGGAAAGCAUAUUGCUUGCUUGGUUAGUACUGUUGGAUUUAUGCCCAAAACAAGAGUUAAUAUGAGUUUUUAUUUUGAUGUCCAAUGUUUUUGUUUAAAGGUUUUUGUUGUUGUACUUGUUAUUGUUAACCAAAACAAACAAUUAAGCUGUUAAAGCAGUAAUAAUGUAGUAUAAUAUGUUCUCUCAAAUACAAAUUUAGAUUUUACAUCAUUUAAAAGCUUAUUUAAUUAUUAUAAAGGAUAUAUAAACAUAGUAAUUUUAUGUUUUUAACAAGCAAUUGUAUUAGUAAAAUAUUAACAAAUUACUAAAAAAUUACUUAUAUAUAUAUAUAUAUAUUUCAGAAAAGUAGGAUAAUAUAAUGUCAAUAAAGUGCUAUGGAUGUGGGAGCCAUUCAAUAAAGCUUAAAAAAAUGUCAAAGUUGCAGUUCUACUGCUCGGGGCCCUGGCGAGAACACAGACGAAAAAGACUCGGUAUCAAAUGUGUAUCAUUUUCUAAACUAGUGCUUGAUUCGACUCUACCAAAUGUCUUUUUCUCAUUUUUUUUUUUUUUUGUUCUUGUAAAAUGAAAAAAAAAAAAUGAUGGGUGAAAAAUGAUACUAUAUGAACCAAAAAAAAAAUUAUCAAUUUCAAAUUAUUUAUUCAUUUUCGUACUGACAAAAUGUCAAAGUUCCAAUUAUACUGAGUCAAAAAAGUAAGCGGUGCAGCAUGUUCACGUAAGAAGAAAAAAAGAAUAAUAAUAAAAUAUUACAUGAACAAUAGUAAUUUUCUUUUGCUAUAAAAAGAGGAUGCUCCUCCUCAUUUCAGCAUCUGAUUUUUCUUCUUUUCUUCAAUUCUAUUUUGAGAAAGAGAAAAGAAUAGUGCGAGUUGAGUGUUUUGUAAGUGGGAGAUUGAAUAUAUUGGGGUUCUAUAUAACAAGUUCAAAUAUUAUAAUAUUUAUAAUCUUCGUAUCAAUAGUGAAAUAUUUUUUUUCUGUUAUCGCCUGUGGAUGUAGGUUAAAAGCCGAACCACUUAAAUUUUAAUGUUACUGUGUGAUUCUAUAGUCUCAUUAUUUCUCAAUUUCACUUUAUUUGUGUGCUUUACUUCACCAAUCAAUUUCCCAACAUACUAGCCCUUAGCAAAAAUAAAAUGAGAAAACGUAAGCAUAAAACGUGUUUCAUUUUCUUGAAAAAUAUAAAUCGAACCCUAAUUCAGCCCAACUAAAUGUGUUUUUAUUAAUUUAUGUUCUUGCAAAAUAUAAAAUAAUAGGUGCAAAACAGUGGCAUUUGCACCCUGUGUUAAAUUUUUUGCAUCUUAAUACAACACAUUAAAAUACGUUUUAAUCCAUUUUGUGUCACCCUUGUGUCGCUGGCUUCUCUUGAGGCUAAAUAUCAUUAUUCAACAUAUAUUUCUUUUUUUUUUCACUGCGCUUACUUUCUUUUUUUGUUUGUGUUUUAAGAAAAGAAAAAUUUUACAAAUAACUUGUAUAAGAAAAAUAAUUAAUUAACAAAAAUUCAUUAACUGGGUCUUUGUUUUAGGUAGUUGGGAUUUUAUUUAUUAGAGGUUUUGCAAAUAAAAAAGAAAUGCCACAUGUAUUAUUUUCAGUGCAUAUUACUCUAUGUAAUUACAUGGGAUUCCCAAAGGAAAGAUUGCAGACUUAUAUCAAGGAAUAGAAAAAAAAAAAUAGGACAAGAAAAAUGGAAGCGACUACGUUUUUUACUUUGUUAUUUUAUUUAUGCACCACACUAUCACAGGCCACUCAAAUUUCCAACAAACCGAGGCUGAAUUGGCCCGUAUGGGUUCGUUUAGUAAAAAUCUAUCUAAAAACAGGAUGCAGCAAUAGCAUGUGCUUAGCAAUACACCAAUUCAUACAAUUAGUGAGUCGAGGUGCGCUUAGCAAGCAGACAGCCCAAGUUCGCAAGCAGAAGUGAGCAAGCCUAGCCUGAUUUCUAGAAAACUUUAUAACACACUAGUAGAGAUAGAGAAUUUUACACUUAUGUAUUCUAGAACCUAGAGAAUUUUUAGGCAACUUGCCCAACUUGUGUGGAACUCCCUAGACCUAGACAAGCCCCUCUAUAAAUAGAGGGGAGAGCCCACCAUUUUGCUCAACACCACACCACAUACAACAAGUGGCUUAAGCAUCCUUGUAAGUUUUCUUGUACUCUCUAUUGCGAGUAAUAAAAUUCACUUUAGCCAUAUUGCUCAUUUCUCUCUAUCUUUCUCGCAGGCAUCUUUGCUUAGUUAGCUUGAAAAGUUCAUUAGAGUUACUUAAUAAUUUUUGUGUUAGAAGUUGUUUAAGUGUAGUACGGAUUGCUUUGCAACAUACUCUUGGAAAGCAUAUUACCCGGGUACUGUUGGAUUUAUACCCAAAAAUAUGUUAAUAUGAGUUUUUAAGUUGAUGUCCAAUGUUAUUUUUUAACUAAAACAAAGAGUUAAGCUAUUAAGGAUUCGUUUAGGAUUAAAGUUAGACAAUUAUACCUUAAAAGUUACAACAUUAAAAUGUUUGUUAAACAUUAACUGGUAUAACUUGGAAGUUAAGCUGAUUUAAUUUUACAUUUGUAUGAUGAAAAAUAUAUUAUGUAUUAACUAAUUUUGUUAAAAUUAUUAUUUAAAAAUUAUAUUUACUAAGUAUUAUGAACUUCUAAUUCACAAUUACAGUUUUUUUUCUACAACAGCAAUAACUUAAAAGUUACAACAACUCAAUACCAUACAGAGCCUAAAGCACUAAUAAAAUAGUAUAAUAUAUUAUCAUAAAUACAAAUUUAGAUUUUAUAUCAUUUAAAAGCUUGUUUAAUAAUUAUAAAGUAUACAAUUAUAAUAAUUUUAUCUUUUUAAAAAACCAUUGUAUUAAUAAAAUAUUAACAUAUUGGUUAAAAAAACACACUAAAAGAGUUUAUCAGAAAAGUGAGAGAAUAUAAUAUAUCAAUAAGGUGCCGUGGAGGUGGGGGCCAUUUGAUUAUGCUCAAGAAAUAGUCAAAGUUGCAGUUCUACCAUACUGGGCCCUAGCGAAAACUAAAACGAAAACGCAAGUAUAAAAUGUGCUUCAUUCUAAAAUCUAUAUUAAUGCUUGAUUCGACCCAACCAAAUGCCUUUUUUCUUAUUCUAUUUUCUUGUAAAAUGAAAAAAAAAAAUGAUAGGUAAAAAGGGUACCAUGCGCACCUCAAAAACUUAUCAAUUUCAAAUCAUUUAUUCAUUUUCGCACAAAAAAAAAAAUGGAAAAUCAAAGUAUGAAACAUGCUUCAUUUUCUUCUAUAAGUGUUUUUCUUAAUUUAUAUUCUUGAAAAAUAUAAAAUAAUAGGAGUAAAACAAUACCAUUGGCUCCUGUGUUAAAUGUAGUGCAUUUGAAUACAACACACUAAAAUACGUUUUAAUUAAUCCAUUUUAUAUCACCCUUAUGUCACUGGUUGCUCUUAGGGUUAAAUAUCAAUAUUCAGCAUUGACGGAUUCAUAAAUCCUUCAAUGAUCCAGUCUUUCAUACAAACAAAGUAAUGAUUUAAAUUAUACCCGAUUCUUCAGAAUGCAUAAAAUUCCUUCUCGUCUUCAACAUUUUCUCCACAAACAUAACUCAAGUGUGUAUCUAAGAAGGCAUUUCAGCACUCUUGUCAAUUUUAUGUUUAGUGAAUUUUAGUAAAUCUGGAGUUGGUUUUUGGUUUUCUCUAACAGAUGAGAAAAUAGUCAAAAAAAUCAUUUCUCAAUCCUUUUGGCUCGUAUUUAUAGACCAAAAAGAGUGGAUUUGACAAGAUUUGAGUUUAAAUCUAAAUCUGCAGUGUUCUAUCUAUUUUUAUUUUUAUUUUUAUUUUUAUUUUAUGUCAUUAGAUUUAUAUCUGUUUUUUGUUAUAUUUUAGCUUUCACCACAUGAUUUUGUUAACAAUCGUGUGCCUCUCAUUGCUAUAUUUUCGGAUUCGAUCAGCAACCUUUUUAAAGUUUCUUAUGAAUUUUCAUGAAAUUCUUUUGUACAAGCACUUACAAGAAUAUAUUUCUUUUUUUUCUAUUGUACUUCGCAAUUUUUUUUUAUUUUCGUGUUUUAAUAAACAAAAAACUUCAAGUAACGUGCAUGUGAGAAAUAAUUAAUUAAAAACAAAAUUUUGUGUAUCCUCCAUUAACUAGAUCUUUGUUUUUGGCACUUGGAUUUCAUUUGUUAGAGGUAUUGUGUGCGUAUAUAUAUUUUUAAUUUUGCAUACUCUUCUUAAGCCACGUAAUUUUCACAUUUUUGCUUCAUUUAGACAUUUAGCAUUGCUUUCAAAACUAAUAAAAUUUGGGCGUAUUUGGUUUGACUUAUAAAGAGAGUGACACUCUACUCGGACAUGCGGAAUUGAAAAUUGGGAGAGGGAGAACUUGAUUGAAUGAACUACAAGAUGCAAUGAAGUCCAGUCUAUGCAGGUAAUUGAAUAUCAUUAUCUAUUGGUUAUGGGGUCAUUUUAAUAAUUAAUGAGAAGUAGAGGAAUAUAUUUGGAGUGUAGUUUUCAAAUUAUCGGGGUGUUAUCCUGUUGUUAUUUAGGAGUGCGGAUUUAUAACGGAAAUUUAUCGGGUGUCAAAAGCCUGACUCAUAAAAUUGAAGCAAUAGUUUGAAUUGGUCUUGAAUUUGAUGGGUGUGGAUUUGGGCUGAUAUCAUGGACACUGGACAGAGAUGGAUCCGCUAUAGACCCGCCCAUUCCCAUUUGUCGGGUUUAGUCCAUUGAAAAUUGAAACGUGAAAGUCGUCUUCCCCCCAUGAGGAACAAAGAGAGAAAUUUUCAGGACGUUUAUGGGAAAAGAGAGGGAAAAAACAAAACGGAGUUGAAAAUUGCCAAUUGGGAGAGGGAGAACUUGAUUGAAUGAACUACAAGAUGCAAUGAAGUGCAGUCUAUGCAUACAAUUGAAUAUCAUUAUCUAUUGGUUAUGAGAAGUAGAGGAAUAUAUUUGCAGUGUAGUUUUCAAAUUAUCGGGAUGUUAUACUGUUGUUAUCUCGGAGAGCGGAUUUACAACGGAAAUUUCAGGGGUGUUAAAAGCUUGACUCACAAAAUUAAAGCGAUAGUUUGAAUUGGUCUUAAAUUUGAUGGGUGUGGAUUUGGGCUGAUGCCUGAUAUUGUGGACACUGGGUUCGAGAGACAGAGAUGGAUCUGCUAUAGACCCGCCCAUUCCCAUUUGUCGGGUUUUGUCCAUUGACAAUUCAAACUUGAAAGUCGUCUUCCUCCCAUGGGGAACAAAGAGAGAAAUUUUCAGGACGUUUACGGGAAAAGGAAAGAGGGAAAAAAGCAAAAGACAAAAAGGGGAACCUCGUAGCUUCUACGAUACUUCCAAAACUCAAUGGGAUGUAUGCAUUGCCAUGUCCUCACCUUAUAGAAAGUCUGGUCAGCCCCUUUUGAAAUGAAGAGUAUUUGUCCCCCCCUUUUUUAAUUUUUUUUUUGGCAAUUCACAAAUAAUAUAUUGCACUUUGUUUAUAGUGUUAUUCUCAGUUGAACGUGGGAUAACUAUAUUAAAGGGGUAGUUUAAAUUUGCUGGUACAAUUAUAACACAACAAAUUAGAUCUGAAAUAUUUUCUAAAAUUUCUUUCAAAAAUAUAUGUGAGAGACAUAAAAAUUUAUAUUAGUAACUUGGGACUUCCAAUUAAUCCAACCACUUAUAAUAGCGUUAACAUUAGUCUUCCAUCUCUAAUAAUGAAAAUCAAUCCUAAUAAUUAUAGCCAUAUUGAUGAGCGUUAAAUAUAGUUCAACAAGGUGCACUUGAGCUCAGGCACGUGGCAUGAUCUCAGCUAUUUAAAACUAAUGGUGGAUCGGAGGGAUAGCAAUUCUUCCAAAAACUUCUAAGUCUCUAAAAUCCAAAUUUCACUUUCAUUUUUCCAAUCCAAGCAAAUUUAGGGAUUUACCUACAGAAAAUAAAAAUCCUACUUAAAAAUAAAUAAAAAUAGAUAAUUUAUAAAAUAAGUUAGAAUUUAUAAAUGUGAUGAAAUUGUUAGUGUUAUCAAUACUAAAAAUGGUAAAUGAUAAAUUUCACCUUUAUUAAAUGUAUACUUUUUACUGAUAGUCAAUUGAUACAACAAUACCAUAAUAGGAACACUCCAAUAUAGCUCCAUGGCAUAAUUAAAGGCUUGAUAUUUCUAUAAAUAUUUUGCUUCUUGGAACUUUGUAUAGCAACCGGGGUUUUAGCAACUCUAAUGGCAAUUUCAUGUCUUUCAAGUCCUUUGCAAUUUCAACUUCAAAGAAUUUUGCAAUCAGGCAUUUCAUCGAUUAGGACAUGCAAUCUUUGUUUUCUUUCAUUUUUAAGGGUCUGUUUGAAUUUGAGGCUGGACGCUAUAGCUUAAAAACUACAUUACCAAAGUAUUUGAUAAACACUAGCUUUUGUAACUUGAAAGUUAUGCUGAUAUGAUUUUUCACUUAUUAAUAGAAAAUCUAUUAUAUCUUCACUAAUUUUGUCAAAAUUAUUAUUGAAAAUUUAUAUUACUUAUAUAGUAUUAUUUUUUUAUUUCAUAAUUAUAACUUUUUUUCACAACUAACUGUAACUUAAAAAUUAAAAAACCUCAAUUCUAAACAGGAUCUAAAUUUCCUUAAUUUCUUUUGAAAAGAUGAUUUUCCAAGCUCUCCUUCCUCAUGGGCCAUUUAUCCUUCACGCAGUAUCGCUAUGGUUUUACUUGAUAUGGAUAUGAUAAUUUCUCUCCAGAGCCUGCCUGCCUGCAUAAGCACUAAAAUAGGCAACAUAUAAUUACCAUUGGUUAAAGGAAUCAUAAAAUUUGACUGGAAUAGAAAAACAUCUUUCAUUCAGUCUUUCCCAAAAUCUUGACAUAUUUUAUCCACCAAAAUUAAAAAAAAAAAUUCCAAACCAUAAUCAAUAGACCUAAUAUUGGUCCCAAUCUUAUUGUUUUUAAACUAAAUUUGCCAGAAAUAUCCUCAUCCUGUGGUAAAAGUUCCUGCAAAAAAUUAAACAAGUGUGAUUUGCUUCUGUUUGAGUGAAAUAUCAAGUGAGGUCAACAAAAUUAUCCACGUCUUUAUUAAUAUGCCAACAUGCUGUCAAAGAAUCAUGCAUCAAUGAACUGAAAUACUAAUAUUUGUAGGGAUAAUGCUUGAUACAUGCAUAUUUGCCAUUAUUGAACAUCAAAGACCAAGUAUUUUAACCUGUAAUUGAAUACUCUGUACAUUCCAUCCAAUGUAGAGGGAUGCAGUUGCCAUCUUGGUGGCAAGAGCUGUAGCAAUCAUUUGCUCUUUCAGAAGAGUAAAGCAAAGACCCAGAUUGUAAUUGAAUGUAGAUGCAGCUAGUGAUAUAGCAGCCAAUACUGCAGUUUACUUCGAAAUGUAUGGCUCUAGCUAUUCCAAAUUAGAAGGUAUUGGGCUUGCAGUUGCAGAGGCAGAAGCUAUGAGAUUAGUGUAAAUUUGUAAGUGGCCAAAGAUGCAGGGGUUGUUCCAAGUAUUGAUCUGAGUCUGAGCCUUGAAUAUGGUUAGUUUAGCCAGGGAAAAAGAGCAGUUUCUUUUCUUGGGUGAUCUCUGAUAUUGGUUAAUGUUGAUUUAAUAAUUCCUAGAUCAGUUAGCUAAAUUUGGCAAUAUUUUUUAUUAGCAAAAUCGGAGCUGUACGUUUCUAUUUGUUUGGCAGAAAUUUCAGCCGAUGUAUCAGUUUUGCUGGGUUGCUAUUUGCCAAUGAAGAAUCUUCCUUUUAAAAAUAAAACAGAAAAUAAAGUAUAAAAUUAUUGGAUUAUUGUGUCUACGAAUAUCAAAGUGAUGUAUAUAGUUCGAGUUGGAAUAACCGUGAAGAUACUAUUCAUCAAAGAUUAUUGUGCCUAAGAAAAUAAAGCGAUUUUGAUCCAGGCUGUGAAGAUUCUGGAGGUACUCGUUCUGAGGGUUUACUGAAGUUCCGGUGAUUUUAUGCAUUUCAAUAUAUUGAGACUCUUGACUUGUGUUUGACGUCAUUGCCCCCCCUACAUCGUUGUUGCUCUGUCAUACUCAAUGCCAUGAGGUUUAGAUUUUUCUCGAGUUGUGCUAUGAUUAACCGCAUUGAUUCUAAUGCUUUAUCAUGAUUUGUAUAGUAAAACCAUCAGCACAUCAUCUGUAGAAGUAUUAUUAUUUAUUGAUGGCCAUACUGCAGGCAGGAGAGUUUUUCAGACUGUUCAUAUAUACAUACAUGAUUCAUCGAUACAUCAGUAUCAUAAAAUUAAACACUUCACACAGCUUAACAAUAAAAUAGGACCCUAAUGGUCUGCUUAUUCCAUAUUCCAUGUAUUCAUGUUAUCCACUGGACAGAAUUAAGCACCAUCAUGUGUCACAUAAUAAAGAUAAUGUAUCAAGUUACUCUCCAGGAUUCCUGCAAUGUUUAAUAUAUAUUCUGCUGUUGAUUUUUGUGGUUCUAUGAGAGCUUAUGUAGCAAGCCUCUAAAUGCAGAGUUUACUUGGAUUUAGUGUUGGAAUUUGGCUUAUAAUCUUGAUCGAGAGGCAACGGAAUUAAGGAAAAGGAAUGAAUGCAUUAGAUACUCUGUUUGUUUGCUUUGGAGGCAGAAAUUUAUUCUGUAUGGGAACCAAAAUCUAAUAAAUAAAUAGAAAUCUGAGUGGUAAAAUAUUAUCAUUUAAAAGCCAUAGAGGCCAGAGUUUAAUGAAAUCUAUCUUAUAGUUCAUUUGGCUGCCUGGAAAGGGCAUGGAGUUGUCUUUACUCUUUUCCAACGACCUCAUUCAGAAUUUAAGUAAUUCUUUAGCGAUUUUGGCCAAGAGUUAAUAUCUUAAUCAAUUAGAUAAUCAGAGUGAAAAUUGAUUAAGUCCUCUCCAGAUCCAAACUUCUCUUGAGUAGAAAUUCCAGAACAAAUUGCGUUAAGCAUUUACUGAGUUGGCUUGAUGUUGUUGAAUAUAUGGCCCUUGCACCACAAAAUUUGAUAUCUACGAGAUGGAAAGAGAAAGAGCAGAGAAAAUCAAAACCUUAAAAGUUUUGAAUCAAAUUAACCUUAAUACAGCAUACAUCACGCAUUACACGUCGAAUUUAACAAGAUUGGAAACGACUCAAUAAAACACUUUUUUUUUUUUUAAUAUCGACCAUGAUGAGUGCACCUGCAAAUUAUUUGAGAAAUUGACUGCUAUGAGCGCAUACGAGGCAAAAAGAAUCCUAUAUCAUGCACAUGUAGGCAGCAAGCAUUGAAAAUACAGAAACUAGCAGCAAUGGCUUGAGCGGAAACUCAUUAAAGAGAACUGUCAUAAAUGCUAAGCAUAAGAAAAAGGCGGCGGAAUUGAGGGUGAUUAGUAAUUGGAAUAAAUGCGGAUGUCUAUUCACAACCCGACAGAAGGGAUUUAGGCUUGAUAUCUGCUGGAAACCUUUUUCUGAUCGGCAGCCGAAGAUCUUCAAUGCUAUGUGGAACGUUAUGGUUGAUAACAAUGCCAGCAGUAACAGUAGAUGAAAGACAUAGCCUUUAGACUUAUUUUUGGUUUUCAUAUUGAGCCAGGUGUUCUGCAAAUGCGAUGACAGGUGCCCCCAUUUAAAUACCUUCCUCAUUCGAUCAUAUUUGGCUCCAAAAGCACCCCAUACAUGUUGAGUUGCCUUAAUUUUCAUUUCUGUCCGUGCAGAUUGCGAUAAGUCAUCUGAUAUGUCCAACGCUGUACACUCACUACCAUCCAUUAAGCUAACCUUUGCAACGGAGUUAUGAGGCGUAUCAGCCAGCAAAGAUUUUGGAGUCUGCAACAUGCACAAAAAGAGCUCAGAGGCUUGGAAAUAAGAAUUAAUGAAUGAACUUCUAUGGCAAGCCAACAAGAGAGAUUGAGCAUAGUUUCAAAAUGAACAUAAGAAAUAGAGGCAAGGAUCAAAAUGAAUAAUAACCUCUUUAAGCAGUAUACUUGAGGGCUUGAGAUCUCUGUAAAUAUUUUGCUUCUCAGAACUUUGCAUAGCAACCAGUGUUUUAGCAACUCCAAUGGCAAUUUCAAUUUUUUUAUCCCAAGAUCCUUCUUUGAUGGAAAAGGAUUCUGCAAAACCAGGCAAUUCAAUGAUAACUACAAAAAUAUCCAUAUGUAUGCAAUCUUUAUUUUCUUUUGUUUCUAAAUUUCCUUCAGUUCUUCUGAAAAGAUGAUUUUCCAAGCUCUCCUUCUUCCUGGGCCAUUUAUCCUUCCAGCAGUAUCCCAAUGGUUUUACUUGGUUUGGAUAUGAUAGUUUCUCUUCAAAGCCCGCCUGCCUGCACAAGCACUGAAAAAUAGGCAACACAUAAUUAGCAACGGUAAAGGGAUCAUGAAAUUUGCCUAGUAUGGCAAAACAUCUUUCAUUCUGUCUUUCCCAAAAACUUAUCAUUUACCUAUUGUGAACCCAAAAAUGAAAGAAAAAAAAAAUUCCAUACCGUAAUCAAUAUUGACAAUAUUGCUCCCAAUCCUAUUAUUCUUAAUAUAAAAUUUGCCAGAAAUUAAAUGUCCCCAUCCUGUGGUAAGAGUUGCUGGAAAAAAUUAAACUAGUGUGAUUUGCUUCUAUUCGAGUGAAAUAUCAAGCGAGGUCGAUAAAAGUAUUCAUGUGUUAAUAUGCCAAUAUGCUCUAGAAAUUUCAAUUAUAUGCUAUGUCAAACAAUCAUGCAUCAAUGAAUUGAAACACUAAUAAUUGUAGGGAUAAUGCUUGAUACAUGCAUCUUUGUCAUUAGUGAACAUCAAUGAGCAACCAUAGAACAAUGCCCUCCAUCUUUAUGCUGUUUCUCUUAGCCAGCUCCAGUAGCAACAGUUAGUGAUUGCCUUUCAGGUUAGCUAGUUGGGAACUGUAUUUGAAUCGCUAACCUGAUAGUUGCAUCUCUGUCAUUAUUGAAAUCAGUGACCAAUACUUGCAGGAAUUGUGCUUGAUACUUCACAGCAUGCAAUAUCAAUUACCAAUACUUGUAUCUCUGUCAUUAUUGAGAUCAAUAACUGAAUAUUGUUGGGGAACACGCAAUAAACAUGCAUCACUGUCAUCAUUGAACGUCAACGACUGAUAAACGGGAUCAGGCUUGAUAAUUGCAUCUCUCUCCUUGGUUAACAUUAAUGAACAAUAUUUGCAGGGAUCAUGCAUGAUGCCUAACAUCAAUGACUAACAACUGUUGGGAUCAUGUUGGCACCUGAAUCUCUCUCCUUGCUGAAGAUCAAUGACCAAUAACUGCAGGUAUCAUGCAUGACACAUGUAUCUCUGUCAUUAUUGAACACCAAUGACCAAAACUUAUAGAAAAACAUGCCAUUAUACUUUUAUCUCUGUCAUUAUGCAACAUCAAUGGGAAAUACUUGUAGUGGAUCAUACUUGAUACUUGCAUCUCCCUCCUUGUUUAACACCACUGACCAUACUUGUAGGGUUUGUGCAUGUAACUAGGUCUCUCUCAUUCUUGAAUAUCAACAAGCAGAACUUAUAGAGAUGCACCCAGAAUAUUUGUACCUCUGUUGUUAGUGAACAUCAACGAGCAAUACUAGCAUGGGUUCAUGCCUGGUAUGUACCCAACUCUUCUUGUUGAACAUCAAGGACCAAAACUUGUAGGAUAUCCUCAUGUUUCAUACUUAAAUGCAUGUCUCACUUAUGGAACAGCAAUGAACAAUACUAGUAGGCAAUCAUCAUGGAUACUUGAUCUCUAUGGAUAUGGCCACCAAACAAUGCUUGUGACCUUGAAGGAUAUCAUGCUUGAUGUUUGCAUCUCCCCCAUUAUUGACCAUGUACGGGAGCUUGCAUGAUACUUUGCACUUCUGUCAUUACUUGACAUCAAUACUUCUUACAUUCGGUUAUCAAAGUUCUCAUAGAACAACAUACUGGAUUUCUUCUGUACCUCUAAUGAGAUAAUGCACCACAGAGUUUCAGUGUGGCUUCUAAUAUCUAGAUUAAAAUAUAGUUAUAAGCAAAAUUAACAUAGGAGAUUUUUAAGUGUAAAUAUAUGUUACUUCAGCACUUGUCAGCACUCAGCAGGGACCCAAUUACAAUCGGAAUGCACGAGAUCAAAUCUAUUACGCUGUUUUGCUAAUGAAGAAUUUUCCUUUAAAAAUAAAAACAGAAAAUAAAUCUUUAAAAUAAAAUUAAACAAUUUAUUUGGCUUAAAAACUAUUAAAAAAAUGACAUGACUAUUAAAACCCAACCCAAGUUUAAAAUAGGUUAAUUAAUAUAGACAAAAAUUAAAUAAAAUCGAAUAUAAUAAGAUAAUUGGGUCCAAGAAUAUAAUCAAAACGAUGUAGUUGGAGCUGGAACAACCAUACCUUGAGAUCACAUGUAACAACAUUCUCCAGCAAUCUCUGGUUGAGAAGGCCUUCUUCAACGUGAUGAAGCAAGAAUUUUGAAGCUCCAACGAAAAUGUUCAAACCUACAGUUUUAUGCCCAAGAAUCAUUCCCAAGGCGCCCCUUAUCGGUGCUCGCAAGCCGGAUCCCAGAGGGAGCACGUUCUCUUCUAGCAUACCGAUCUCACAAUCUCUAUCAAAUUCUGACCUCAUUUUUUCUUCUUUUUUCUCUUUCUCGCAGUGCCUUCUGUUGGUGAACGUACCACCCAGAACUAAGAAGUUAUGCAUGCGCAGUAAUCAGAGAGAAUUUGAAAUUGUCUAGAACCAUUUCAAAGAAACAGCCAUGGAUCUGCUUAGCCAGGCUGCAGGGUUUUAUAUAGAUAAUAAUUUUCCAUGGACUCACACGGCCCCACUUUUUUUAAUGGGCCCCACUUACGAUAUGUCCUCGUAGUCGUAACGGAGAACUACAAAGUUCGAGCCCCAGUAACUCUUAUUAUUAUUAUUGCUAUGGAUAUGUUGGAACGUAUUUGUGAAUCUCAAUUAUAUAUGUAAAGUGAUAAAUAAUAAAAAAAAAUUAUAAUUUUAACUAUGUGGUUAUGAAAGGGUGUUCUACCUUAAAACAGUUUUAACAUAACCUGACCCUAUUUUUUUGNNNNNNNNNNNNNNNNNNNNNNNNNNNNNNNNNNNNNNNNNNNNNNNNNNNNNNGAAAAUAUGUUUUAAUAUGGCAAAAAAUUAAUAAUAAGAUGCUUUUCUUAUACUUUUUAUUUUUUAAAAAUAUUUUAUUUAUAAUAAAUAUAUAUUUUAUAUUCUCAAGAUAAAUUAUCAAGUAAAUGACUUAUUUAUCUCUUUUUUCUUUAAAUUUUUUGUGCUGGAGAGAUUUUUGGAUAUUAUGAAAAUAAUUGAAAAGUAAGUGGUGUAUUUUAACUUCAGUCGGGAGAGCGAUUUUCGCUUUAAAAAAAAUAUAUACACAAAACUUAAUAGAAGUAAGCUCAAACGCAGCAAAAUAUAAUAAUAAAUUCCCCUAAUUGCAUAGGAAAACUCAAAUCCUCUUCCUUAAGAUUAAAAGAUAAAAAAUACUACUAAUAAUAAUAGUUGAUAGUGUAUGGUAAAUAUAAUUUUUAAAUAAUAUUUUUAACAAAAAUAAUAAAUAUGUUAUAAAUUAAUCAUCAUAUAUAUAAGUAUGAUAAAAUAGUAAUUUAAUUACAACUUUCUAAUCACAAUAUAAUAUAGUACCUUAAAAUAAUCUAUUUGCCCCCAUGAACUAAUUUUUAUAUUGCAGUAAGGCUGUGGACCAUUACAGUCUAUUACAUGAACAAGUCACGUAUGAAUAAAAUGAUAAAAAUGUCCUUACUUUAAUAAUUUCUUAUUGCAACAUGAUAGUUUUAACCCAGGCUUCUUUUCAUAUUACAAAAGUUGGAAAGAAGCCCUUACCCCUUUUUGUAUAUUUUCUUCAAUCCAUACUCUCAUAGGAUAUGUGACAAUAAUAUAACUAUGAUGUACAAUAUUUGAAUAUUUAGCUUUAUUCAAUAAAAGAAGAGAUAAAAAGUUUUGAUCUUGUCAAAUAACAUUAUUUUCAGGUUGAUGACGUUUAUAUACAUGUGUAUGUGUGUGUGUACUCAUACAUUCAUACAUAGAGUCUUGAUUUAGUCCGAAAUUUUAAAGUCUGUGAAAGCUAUUAAAUUGUGGGGGUUUGAUAGGCUUAAUAGCAUUAUGCUAUUAAAUCUCACGAUUCAAUAAAUUUUUUGAAUAUUCUCGGACUUUAAAAUUUACAAGCACCCUUAUUUUUUUUAAUGCCGAUAUUCUUUUAAACUGUGAAGUUUAAUAGGCUUAUUUUAAAAUGAAUUAUGAAGCCGUGUGGUUUAAUACCAUUAAAAAAUUAAUUCUCUUAAACCACACAACUUAAAAAUAUGUCCGCAUGAAAGAAAAAUGAGGCGUCUGCAUUAGAGAAAAAAAUAUAUAUACAUAUAUAAAGUAAUGUGAAAGCUAUUAAUAUUUACAAUUAAAAAUCGAUUCAAAUUAUUUUAAAUCAAGUCUAUUUUAGCACAGUCCAAGUUUUGUAUAUUCACGUAUAAUCGCGAGGGCAACGAUUACAACUUGGCCAAAGACCGAAUAAUUUAUGUUAUUUAAGUCAACUAGUAAAACUUCAUAAAUAUACCGAAAAGAUUUGUUUCCAGUAAUUUUAUUUUUAAAAUAAAAAAAUGAUGGGGCAUUAAUUUUGGAGCUAAUUGCUACUUUUUAAAAAGUUGUAAGCUAAAGUGUCUACAGCACUGGACCCGUCCACUGCCCCUUUAGUUGUUUGCAAGUAGUGUACCGAAAGUAGAAUUUGUUGUCAAAGACGGAAUUUCGUCGAACGAUCUAAAUCUGGCCGUUGGAAAUUUCUAUGAAGUUACCGGUCUGUUUGAAAGCGCCCUAACACAGAACAAAAGGCUCCUCGGAAGUUACUAACAUGUUUAUGAGACAAUUAUGUCCAUAAAAGAAAAAUGCUAGUGCCGGACAAGGAAUGAUGGUAAAAUUCUCUCUGUGUUUGGGGCUCCAAUGGUACUCAUUAUAUCCUAAAUAAGCUGUUGAUAUAUAUGAUUUUUAUGGAAUGAGGAGGUAACUAAUAUAAUUAGUACACAAAUUAUUCAUGGGAUUGGGUUUAUUUUUGUACUCUGUGCUCUCGAAUCUUCAUUACUUUUACAAUUUCUAUUUUUAUUCUAAUUCAAGUAUUAGUUAUCAAAAGAAAUUGUUCUAAUAUGUUGAGGAUUGUUUUUUUUAAAGAUUUAAAUCUAAUGUUGAACUGACAUUUUUUUACUAAUUUUUUAGAAAUUUAUAUUUGUUAGUUAUUAGAUAAAAAUAAAAAAAUAAGGAAGAUUAUGAAGAACUAAGCAUAGGCCAGUUAAGCAUGAGAUCCAAAUUAUUUUUUCAAUUCAAAAAUUUAAAUAUUAUCUUUAUUUGAAAAAUUUCAACUUUAAUACUACUAGAACAAUGUAUUAGUAUAUUCUUGUACUACACAACAAACUAGUAAAGGAGAACAAGGUGGGGCAGGAGGAAAGUGUUCCUCGUAUGUAAUUUCUUCACCAUCACCCCCAUUAAAUUUAUUAGAAAAUAGGGUUAGAUAGUAUAUUAAAUAUAGUGAAAAAUAAAGAUUAAGAUCCUUUUUUUAAUCUGAGCUUCUCCUGAACAGAAAUUUAUAUGUUGAUUGGUAAUUAAUAAACAAAAAAUAUAUCAUCUACAAUUUCUUUAUCACCACCCUAUUAAAUUUAUUAGAAAAUAGGGUAAAUAAUUCAUUAAAUGUGGUGAAAAGUAAAGAUUAAUCUCCUAAUCUUAACUUCUCAUGAGCAAAAAUUCAUAUGUUGAUUGGUGAUUAAUAAAUAUAAAAAAUGUGUUGAUUAGUGAUUAAUACAAAAUAGUAAAAAGUUAAAUCCUAUCCUUCUACUACUAGAAAAUAAUAUAUGGUAUAAAAUUAUUAAAAGUUCAAGAAAACCCAGAUCAAGAAAUUAAGACGCCGUCCCGUCCUCAUUGGCUCAAAUGCUAUCCUUAAGUCGUAUCACAUGAGCAGGCUAUACAGUGUGAACAUAAUUUUUUUUUCUUAAAAAACACGAAUUUUGAUUAAAAAAAGCAUAAAAAGAAAAAUUUCUACGAAGUUUCUGUCUUUUUCUUUUUUAAAGGAAAUUUCUAUGAAGUUUUACUAUAAUGAUGACGAGUAUGAACGUAAAAUUUUUUCUCCAACGACACGAAUUUUGAAAAAAAAAAAAAGAUAAAUUUCUUCGAAGUUUCUUUCUUUUUCUUUUUCUUUUUGAAAAAAAUUUCUAUAAGUCUUCCUAUAAUGAAGGUGGCCCCAUUACCCUCCUUAAUUGCACUAUUUUCUCAUGCUUUAAGCUUUUCAGUGGAAGAAUCAAAAUACUACAUUAUCUUUUUCGUCUACUCCUAAUAUUAGCUUUACUCAUUAAAUCUAUAAAUCUAAUUACUGUGAUGAUUUUUGAAGUUAUCUAAUUCUUCUUUAGCUUCCCUUAAGGUAAGUUCUUGGAAAUUACUGUCAUCUUUACGUGUUUAACUUGCACAAGAAGCCUUUCAAGUUAUCAUAAAUUCAUAUUUUUCCUUUUGAAUUUUAUGCCUUGUUUGAAAUUAAGGUUGAAACGCUAUAAUAAUUAAUAAGCAGUUUAUUUAAUUAAUUUUGACAAAAAUAUUCUUUGAUAACUUUUUUAAAGGAAUGCAUUUCAUAAGUUUUUCUAUUUUCAAUUUUUCAUCUCUGUUUUAAUUUUAAAAGUAAGUAACAAAUUAUUUUUCAUAAGCAGCUUAUUAAAUAAAUCACCAAAUUUUUAAAAUUUUUAUUAUAAUCUUAAUAUUUUAAUAAAAAUAUAAUUUUAUCUUAUUUUUUUUCUAUAAACUCUAAAUACAAAUAAAAGUUUCUUCCUCUAACGCGUGCUUAAGGAAAUAUCACCUUAUUAACUUCACGGAAAUUUUCUUAAAAAAAAAGAAUAGGGGAAACUUCCUUUUGACUUCUGAUCUUCUUCCGUUCUCUGUUGUUAAAUUUGAAAGAAGAAUUACUCAGAUUCAGAGUCAAUCAUGUCUAAUGAAUUAAUAGAGUUAGCCAAAAAGGACAGCAUCCAGAAUCAACAUGGCUGCACGUCAAUGCACAGAGCCCCCGUAGAAGACGACGCGUUGACGACGCCGCUACACAGAGCAGCUGUCAAUGGCGAUACUGGUGUGAUUACGGAAAUAGCAUGCUCGGAAUCCCUUGCAAAGCUGACUUCCAAUGACGAGACAGCUCUUAUCCUUGCAGUGAAGAAUUCUCAAAUCAAUGCUUUCAAGAUCUUGAUGGAGGAGACAAAGAAACAUAACCUGGAGCGUCUCUUCACAGCGACAGAUAAGGAGGGCAACAGUCUUCUGCAUCUUGCUGCGCAGAACAAAUUAACCCCGGUAAGCUCUCCCCGCUGUCUCUCACACUUUCUCGCACAAACACACAAAACUUUUGAUUACAAUUAAUUUGUACAUGGAGAAAUUAAUCAUAAACUUAGGUAGAUCAUGAUAAGCAUAGUAUCUAUAAAAUUGAGUAGGCCAGUAGCUAGCUAGUGUCAACUCUCUAGAGAAUUUGAGGCGAAAGUUUUGUUUCAAAGCCUUUUUUAUCAGAGUUAUAAUAAAAAUACUAGUUUCCUUCACGUAUUUCUAACGGUUCAAUCGCAUAUUUAUUUUUCUAUGAUUUUUCUAAUUAACAAAUAUACAAUUUAGCUUUUGUUACGAGGGAAAAAUAUGGAAAAUAGCUAAAGGUAAGGGGGGCAAAAAUUGUCUUGAUGAGGGAAAUUUGUUUUUAAGAUUUCAUUUGAAAAAUAAAAGUUAAAACAUUUCUUUUGGAAAGAAUAAUAUAGAGGAUUUUAUUUUAGGAACUAGAAAGUGUGCACAUAUGUAAGAAAAUUUACUUAAUACUAAUUAAUAAAUUUUAAAAAAUAAACUUCAAUUAUUCAAUGAUUUAGGGAUCUAAACUGAACUGAUAGCCGCCUUAGUUAAUUGUCAAGGCCAAGAGAGAAAAAUGGACAUUCCUAAUUUGUUAAAAUGAGGAUAUCACUAAAAUAAAAUAAAACAUAAAUUUAAAUUUAAUUAUCUGUUAAUGCGUUGAAAUUUAUAUAUUUUUUUUCAUACUAACAUUCUCACUUAUAUUAAAGUGAAAGUGUUAUAUAUAUAUAUAUAUAUCUAUAUAUAUAGUGGAGGCCCAAACAUAGAGAAAAUUUGAAUGGAUAGGCGCACCAUUUACCGGGACCCAUAAUCUAAAUAACAAAAUAAUAUUUCUAUUCUAUUCAAAUUAGGUCUUGGCUAUUUUCGUUACGAUUCCCUCAACUAAAUUCCUCCCCACUCUGCCCAGGCUUCUGCCUAGUUCCACUUCUUGGUGAUGUUUAAUAAUUGCAGAUUGUGAAUCUGCUUCUUGAGAGUUCCUACAGUCACAUAAUUCAAAUCAAUUCCAAGAACAAUGAGGGACAGACAGCCUUGGAUAUAUGCAAUGCCAAUUCUCAAGAUGAUGUUUCCAAAGAAAUUGGCUCGAUCCUUGAAAGAGCUGCUGCUCGGCAACAAAGUGCUCGUGAUCCAGAACAAAUUUCCGAUCCCACUAGUGGCUCAUGGAAUUUCACACGGUUUCCGAUAGAGACAAGAAACGGGAUACUGACGGUCCUAGGAAUGAUUGCUACAGCUUUUUUCACCGCAGCCUGUGAUUUCCCAAACGGCUUCGUUAAAGGAAAUCAUCCUCAAGGUAAACUAAACUUACCUAUGGAGAAAAAAUUUAUCUUAAAGGAAUGCUUAUGACAAAAUUCAUUACUCGAAAGUCUACACCUUUUUUUUUUCUCUUUUUGUUUUUUUGGGUCGUUUACUUGUCCUCAUUUUAUUAUAUUUACAUUGUAAAAUUACUAUAUUUACAUAAGGGCAACUUUUUUUUAGCAGUAAUCUUGCAGUUUGCUUGCUUCCUUUCUCAUAGAAGAUUAUAUAUAUAUAUAUUUUGCAGGUCAAAAAUUUGAUGCUAAGGAUGUCAUAUCCGGUAACCUACCAACGGUUGUCUACCUGAUGGUUUUCAGUUCGGCUGGGUUUAUGACUGCUAUGGCUGCAAUUACCGUACUUGUGUGGGCGUUACAACUUAGAAGAAUCCUCCUUUUUCUUGUGAUCUGCAUAUGCGUUGUUUAUGUUAUGUUAGUGGAUGAGGUGACGCCUAAGUUCAGUGUAAGUGUUGGGAAAUUCAGCAUUUCAAGCAUUGCUUUGAUGUGGUCACUAGUCGCAGCCCUUUCUCUAACAGGAAUCUCUAUACUAAGUAUGCGGGAGAAAUGCACUUCAUCCCUUUGGCGAUUCAUCGUCUGGCUGUCCAUGAAAAGAGCAAAUUGGUGGGGCAGCAAUACUGUUGAAGAUUCGGAGGCUAGUUCAAUUGGAUGAUAGAGUUCAAUUUGAUUCUUUUUUUUUUUUUUUUGUAGAAAUAAGUUGUUAGGAAAAUGCAAAAAGAAACUUCCACUAAAGACAAACGUUGCUUAGGGGAUUUGACGAAGUGAAAAUAGCUGUAUUCUUCUCGCUUUCCUAAUUUUUUCCUGGAAAAUAUAAAAACCUACUGAGUGUGUGUAAUGAUUGUAUUUAUAUGAUUGCGUUGAUCAAUCACAAUCACAAUACUAAACUGUUUUUAAAUGAUAAAGAUUCUAAGUUAAUAACAUUACUAAAUUUGCUUUAAAUGGAUGCCUAUAAAUUGUCUGUGGUGGCUAAUCUAACUUGUUUACUAAUUUUUUUUCAUUGUUUAAUAAGACAACACCAAAUAUAAUUUUAUUGAAUUUUUCUAAUUUAUCCUAGCCCAAUUUUGUUUUUCUUCGACACCCCUUAACAGUGUAUGUAAUUUCCAAAUUCCAAUCCAAAACUCCAAGACCCACGUUAACGCGAAAAGCGGGAAUGCGGGAGGAAACUUUAUAGCAUACAUCCUGUUUAGUUUUGGGACCAUCUCGGAAGUUAUACAUUGAAGGGCCCACGCGCAAAAAUGCCUUUUUGCUUUAUUAGGUGGCAUUUGUUUUUUACCAGAAAUAUGAAUUGGUCUGAAUGCACGUGUUAGGAUAAUAUAUUUAUUUUUAUUUUUUGAUAUCUGAACGUAAGUUGUAACUUGUAAGCUGUUUGUUUUUAUAAACUCAAAACAUUUUAAAUCUAAUAUUUUUUCACUUAUGACCUUCAAAGUAUUAUAUAUGCAUGAAGUUUAAAUAUGUAUAUGUUUACAGUACAAUAAUUUUUAUAUGUUAUAAAUAUUUAUAACAUAAGAAUUUGAUAUAUAAUUUAUGAAAAAAUAAUUUUGAUAACAUCAUUUUUUACAAUUUAACAUAAUAUUAUACAUAAAAAAUUGUUAUCUAAUAAUAAAAAUAUUUGUUUAAGAUUCAAAUUGAAUCUAUGAUAAGUAUUUAAUACCAAGUAAAAUUUGAGAACUAGGAAAAUUUUAAUAUGAUAUCUAAUAGCUAGGUAGGUAAUAAAUAUAUUUAAUGAGUGUAUUUGUGAAAAAAAAUUAAUUUUUUAUUCAGAUAUUUAAUCAUUUAAAUAAAAGUAAUGAAAUUUUACUUUUUCUAAACAUUAGUUAUAAAAAACAAAGAAAUCAAUAUAUCAAAACAUCUUUUAAAUUAAUUCAAAUUAAGAUUUCAUAUCCUUACACUUACCAUGUAAUUUCCAAUCAUUCCAAAAGUUGGCGUAAGUAAGGUGAAGACGCGGCAAUGCAGAAGGAAAUGCGCUGGUAGUCCGGUGAACUAAAGUUAUUUGGGAAACUUUAGAGAAAGUUACACAAGUUAUGAUAUUUUUUAUAGAGUAACGACUAGAUGCUCCUCAAAAAAAAAAAAAAAAAAAAGGACCAGAUGGCUAGUGUUACGACUGCACGCGUGUCAAGAUCUUAAAUAGAUCUAUGUUGUGGGGCCCAGAGAUGUCUCUUACUCAGAUCCUCCACAAGGUCUAUCUUUUAUAUUUUCUGUUUAGCACUAAACUCAAUUCUCAUCUUCUUGAUCGAUAUAUGCUCCGCAACAAAUAGCCAUUUCUCAAACUAUAUAAUCCAAAAAUGGACAAAAAACUAGAGUGAAAAUUUGUUUCUUUAAAAAUCAAACAUGAAAACACCGUACUUUCUGCUUACAUUCGGGACUGUAUCAUUGUCAAAUAUGGCAAAGCUAUGUAGGAUUCAUUUGAUAAAUUCUCUAUAAUAUGGCAAAGCUAUAUUAUAUAAUUUAGUUAUUGAAUAAAUUCUCUAUAUUUUGUUCCCAUGAUAGGUUCAUUAUCCUUAUCCUUAACCUCACAUUGUUAAGUGUUAUUUAAAAAUCCCAUGAUGUUGAGUUAUUUAGAGUAGAACGAUAUCUAGUCCAUCACGAUGUCGAGACAUUUGGAUUAGAACAAUAUUUCAUCCAUCAUAAAGUUGGAUUCAUUUGAUAGAGUGAUUCACAAACACCACAUGAAACUUAGAACUAUGUAUUCGCAUCUUUGUGUCGAGUGAGUGGGGUUUAUCUUACAAUAUUUUCGCUUAUACUAUCCCAUUUGUCAGUUAUCAUAUAAUCAUUUUCAAGUGCAAAUUUAAAGUUUUACAACAUUUUAAACUACUAAAUUAUCUUACAAUGUUGUAAAAUCAUGAAUCAACGUUUUAAAAAAUACAGACAUCCUCACUAUCAAAAUAAAUUUAGUAUAGUUAGAAUCUCCAUCGGUGGAUCGAUCAACACAAUCAUAUAAAUAUCAUCAUUAUAUAUGAUUUACAAUUUGUUGAAAAAAUUUAUUAAUUGAAUAUUUUGUUACUGUAUAUAUUUUUGUAAGACAGUGACGCGUUGACCUACAUCCAUCAAGAAUCGCUCGUUACUCAAGUCAUUGAGGGUAGUGUUGUUGGUCAAGUCAAGAGUUCAUGUGUUUAUUUUAAGUUAUUUUUUAUGUUUUUACUCAGUUGUUGUGAAAGUAUAAGUUUUUACCAAUAAGUGUCCAUGGUGGCUAAUAUACCCGUCCAAUAAGUUUUUCAUUGUUUAAUCAGGCAACACCAAAUAUAAUUUUAUUGAAUUUUUGUAAUUUAUCCUAGUAAAAUUUUGUUUAGUGCACUCGCGGCCAGGCAGUCUAACAAAAAUGCCUUUAUGGGUUUAUCAUUUUCUUCGACACACCGUGAUCGUGUGUAAGUGUAAUUUCCAAAUUCCAAUCCAAAAUUCCAAGACCCAGUGUUCGGUGAAAAGCAGGAAUGCAGGAGGAAAUUCUCAAGUUAUUGCAUAAACAUCCCAUUGAAUUUUGGAAGCAUCUUGGAAGUUAUAUUGAAGGGCCCACACACAAGAAUGCCCUUUUCCUUUCUCACACUCACCGUGUAAUUUCCGAAGGCCUUCGUAAGUGAGGUGAAGACGCGGCAAUGCAGAAGGAAAAGCGCAAGUAACCCGGCGGAAAAAAGUUAUUUGCAAAGCUUCAAAGAAAGUUACACAAGUUAUGACUUAUGAUAUCUUUCCCAGUGCACGACUGCAUGCGUAUCAAGGUUGUGAGAUUCACACGUCUCUCUCGGAUCCUCAACAAAUCCAUCUUUUAUAGUUUUUCUAUAGCACUAAACUCACUUCUCAUCUUCUUGGCUACGCAACAAAUAUCCAUUUCUCAAACCACGUCAUGCGAAAAAAAAAAAAAAACUAUAGAGAACAAUUGUUUCUUUAAAAAUCAAACUGCAAAACGCCAUGCUUUCUGAUUGGACGGUAGCAUUGUCAAAUUUGGGAAAGCUAUGUAUGAUUUAUUUGAUUAUGCAGAAACAAACCAAAUGCGGUAUCAAUAAACGCAGCUAUACUAUUUAUGUGUUAGUUAUUAGUCCAAACAAAAUACGAGUAGAGUCAUGUUCGCCCAAUUCUUCACUAGGCUAAAAAGGAGAAUUUUCAUUAUAAAAUGGGGACUGUUACAAAAUAAUUUCUCAGACUUCAUCAAUCUUUAUCUACUUUUUCAAAAUAGAUGUAGAUGAACUUUUAUUGAAAUAUGAUAAUAGAGUCUUUCUUUAGUGAAGAUGUUCACAUUUUCUAAAAUACAAAUUCAAGAUUUUACAAUGCUGUAAAAGAUUUUUAUAACGUUGUAAAAUGAUUCAUCAGUUUACAAUACUAUUUUUAAAAUAUUGUACCGAAUUCGUUUUUAGAAACAUGCGGACAUUCGCGUCUGCAAAUGUUUAUAUGAUAAUUGACGUAGGGAGGUAGUGUAAGUAGAAAUAUUGUAAGAUAAAUCCAGCUUACUCAACAUAAAGACGGGAAUACAUGGGUCUAAGUUUGAUAUGGUGGUUGUGAAUCACUCUGUCAAACGAAUCACAUUCCAUUAUAGACUAGAUAUCGUUUUAAUCCAAAUGAUUGAACAUCGUGAUUUUUAUUUUUUUAAAUAACACUCAACAAUGUGAGGUUAAAGAUAAAGAUAACAUAACAAAAUUAAAUGGAGAUAUAUAUAUCUACUGGAAAUACUAAAACGUCAAGCACCAAAGAUAUACGAUGUAUUAUCUGACAGGAUUGACAAGAGAUGAGCUUGACAAGAGAGGCUUCAAAGGGUCCGACAUUGUGCAAAUGUAAGCGGCGGCCAUUGAGAAUGCAGAAACUAGGGAUAGUGGCCAGAGCGGGAGCUCGCUGAAAAGAGUCAUCAUCAAUGCUACGGAUAUGAAAAAGGCUAAGGAAUUGAAGACAAUGACUGAUUGGAUAAAAUAUGGAUGUUGAUUCGCAAUCUGGCAGAAGCGACUUAGGCUGCUAGAAUUGUAUUCGUAGGCGUCUUCAGCUCUGCAUCCCAGGAUCUUCAAUUGUACGUGGAAGGUUGUGGUUGAUAACAGUGCUGAGAUGAGNNNNNNNNNNNNNNNNNNNNNNNNNNNNNNNNNNNNNNNNNNNNNNNNNNNNNNNNNNNNNNNNNNNNNNNNNNNNNNNNNNNNNNNNNNNNNNNNNNNNNNNNNNNNNNNNNNNNNNNNNNNNNNNNNNNNNNNNNNNNNNNNNNNNNNNNNNNNNNNNNNNNNNNNNNNNNNNNNNNNNNNNNNNNNNNNNNNNNNNNNNNNNNNNNNNNNNNNNNNNNNNNNNNNNNNNNNNNNNNNNNNNNNNNNNNNNNNNNNNNNNNNNNNNNNNNNNNNNNNNNNNNNNNNNNNNNNNNNNNNNNNNNNNNNNNNNNNNNNNNNNNNNNNNNNNNNNNNNNNNNNNNNNNNNNNNNNNNNNNNNNNNNNNNNNNNNNNNNNNNNNNNNNNNNNNNNNNNNNNNNNNNNNNNNNNNNNNNNNNNNNNNNNNNNNNNNNNNNNNNNNNNNNNNNNNNNNNNNNNNNNNNNNNNNNNNNNNNNNNNNNNNNNNNNNNNNNNNNNNNNNNNNNNNNNNNNNNNNNNNNNNNNNNNUGUUUACUUUUUUAUUUUAUUUGCGCAGGCAUUUUGCAGCUUUGGAAGGCUUGCUUGGUUAGUACUGUUGGAUUUAUGUCAAAAAAUAAGAUAAUAUGAGUUUUUAAUUUGAUGUCCAAUCUUUUUGUACAUGUUAUUUUCAACCACCACAAGGAGUUAAACUAUUAAAGCACUAAUAAAAUAGUAUAAUAUAUUAUCAGAAAUAUAAAUUUAGAUUUUAUAUCAUUUAAAAGCUUAUUUAAUUAUUAUAAAGUAUACAAUUAUAGUAAUUUUAUAUUUUUUAAAAACCAUUGUAUUAAUAAGAUAUUAACGUAUUAGUUAAACAAACACACUAAAAAAUUAUGUCAGAAAAGUUAGAUAAUAUAAUAUCAACAAGGGUCUAUGGACGUGGGAGCCAUUCGAUUAUGCAUAAGAAAAUGUCAAAGUUGCACGACUGCAUGCUUGUCAAGGUUGUGAGGUUCACGUAAUCCUCAACGAAUCCAUCUUUUAUAGUUUUUCUAUAGCACUAAACUCACUUCUCAUCUUCUUGGCUACGCAACAAAUACCCAUUUCUCAACCACGUAAUGCAAAAAAGAAUAAAAAAACGAGGGACAACAUUUGUUUCUUUAAAAAUCAAACUGAAAAACGCCAUGCUUUCAGGUUGGACGGUGGCAUGGUCAAAUUUGGGAAAGCUAUGUAUGAUUUAUUUGAUUAUGCAGAAACAAACCAAAUUGCAGCGUGAAUAAACCCAGCUAUAUUCUUCAUGUGUUAGUUAUCAGUCCAAACAAAAUACAAGUAGAGUCAUGUUCGCCAUAAUUCUUCACUAAGCUAAAAAGGAGAAUUUUCAUUAUAAAAUUGGGACUGUUACAAAAUAAUUUCUCACACUUCAUCAAUCUUUAUUUACUUUUUCAAAAUAGUUGUAGAUGAACUUUUAUUGAUAUAUGAUAACAGAGUCUUUCUUUAGCGAAGAUGUUCACAUUUUUUAAAAUAUAGAUUUAAGAUUUUACAAUGCUGUAAAAGAUUUUUAUAAUGUUGUAAAAUAAUUCAUCAGUUUAAAACAUAAUAAAUUUUUUCUUAUAAUAUCGUAUCGAAUUCUCUUAUUAGAACAUGCGGACAUUCGCGUCUGUAAAUUUUUAUAUGAUAAUUGAUGUAGUGAGGUAGUGUAAGCAGAAAUAUUGUAAGAUAAAAUCCAGCUUACUCGACAUAAAGACGGGAAUACAUGAGUCUAAGUUUGAUAUGGUAGUUGUGAAUCACUCUGUCAAACGAAUCUCAUUUCAUGAUAGACUAGAUAUCGUUUUAAUCCAAAUGAUUAAACAUCGUGAGAUUUUUAAAUAUCACUCAACAAUGUGAGGUUAAAGAUAAAGAUAACAUAACAAAAUUAAAUGGAGAUAUAUAUAUCUACUAGAAAUACUAAAACGUCAAACACCAAAGUUAUACAAUCUAUUAUCUGACAGGAUUGACAAGGGAUGAGCUUGACAAGAGAGGCUUCAAAGGGUCCGACAUGAUAAGAAUAAAUUUCAAAUCAACCACAAUCAAGACAAUGACAGCAAGGCAAUCAUGAAUUCUACAAAAGGAAGGAAUAAAUUUUCCAGUUAAAGGCUUACCAAGUUCAAGACUUGACAACAACGGUAUUUAUCCAAUGGAUGAAUAAUGAUGGAUUAUUGAUGACAUGGCUUAGAGGGAUGAUGGUUGAAGAUGUUCUGAGCUUGAUUGUAGAAGGCCAAACCGCUUGUGAAGUAUGGCUCUCCAUUGAAGAGCAGAUGCUUCCAGCCACCAAGGAAUAAGAAUCUUGGUUGAAGGAUAGCCUCUACUCCCUUAAAAAGGGAAAUACCAAGCUCAAAGAAUUUCUUAAGAAAUUCAAAUCAUUGUGCGACAACUUGACAGCAAUUGGGAAACCAAUUUUUGAUGAAGACAAAGUCUUCCAACUUGCACGAUCCUUGGGGCCUAAGUACGCAGAUUUCAAGACUGCCAUGCUAACUAAGCCUCCAUAUCCAACUUUAAAGCAGUUCAUCCUUGCCCUUCAGAAUCAUGAACAAACCAUAAUGGUACAAAAAUAAGAAGAUGUUACACUUGUUAAUCAAAAUCAGGCGUUCUUUGGUGCUACAGGAAGGGGAAGAAACCAAAGAGGAGGUAGAAACGGUGGUCGUGGAAGAGGUUUUGUGCAAAAUGGUGGGGGCCCAAACAAAAAUGGGAGCCAUUCAUAUCAAAACGAAAACAAAGUCAUUAAUUCUAAAAAAAAAUUGCCUCAAAUGCUCAAACUGCUCCAAAAAGCAAUGCAAACCAUCAAGAAAAAGAAGACAUCAUUAUUUGCCAAAUAUGUGGAAAAAAGGGCCACAGUGCUGCUGUAUGUUGGAGUCGAUAUGAAUAUCUGGAUCAAGAAGAAGUGCCACAAGGCCUUGCUGCGAUGAACUUCAAUGAAUCAAACGAUCAACAUUUGUAUGUGGACUCGGGGGCUUCUGCACACAUGGUCAAUGAUCUAGGUAAACUCGACAAAAUUUUUAGUUAUAAAGGCCAUGAUAAGAUUUUUGUAGGUAACAGACAAAAACUUGAUAUAUCACAUAUUGGAAAUAUUUCUAUAAAAACUAAAUAUGGCCCUUUAUUACUAAAAGAUGUACUUGUUGUCCCUCAAUUGAAAAAGAAUUCACUAUAUGUGGCACAACUUACUAAUGAUUUUCCUUGUUCUCUUGAAUUUGAUGCUAACGGCUUUAUUGUUAAGAAUAAACAGAACAAGGUGCUGGCGAAAGGCAGUAGAAGCGGCAAUCUCUAUGUUUUGGAGGAAAGCAAUCAGAAAGCAUUAAAUGCAAUAAAAGGAAAUUUUGAUACAAUAGAACGUUGGCACAAACGGCUUGGACAUCCAAGUCUUGAAGUUUUACGUAUUUUAAAAUCAAGGAAGGAGAUCAACUUUUCUAGUUGGAAUAAAAUAUCUAGUAUUUGUGCUUCAUGUCAAUUAGGAAAAAGUUGUAAACUUCCAUUUAAUUUGUCUAAUAAAAUAUCAGAAUUUCCGUUACAAAAAGUUCAUUGUGAUUUGUGGGGUCCUGCCUCAGUUAAUUCCAAUCAAAACUUUAGAUUUUAUGUGCUUUUCAUUGAUGAUUGCACUAGAUUCUCAUGGUUAUUUCCUUUAAAACAAAAAAUUGACUUCUUUGAUUGUUUUUUAAGGUUUCAGCGUCAAGUGGAGAAUCAAUUGGAAAGGAAAAUCAAAAUUUUCCAAUGUGAUGGGGGUGGUGAAUUUAAUUCAAAAAUAUUUAUUGAUCAUCUGCAGAUUUGCGGUAUUACAAGACAAAUUUCAUGCCCUUACACACCACAGCAAAAUAGAGUGGCAGAGAGAAAACAUCGGCAUAUUUUAGAGACGGCAUUGACAUUAAUGUUCCAAGCUCAAAUACCUUUGACUCUUUGGGUUGAAGCAUUUAUGACAGCCACAUAUCUAAUUAAUCUCAUGCCUCUCUCUAUUGUUUCUAUGAAAUCUCCUUAUGAAAAGCUUUUCAAAAAGGCUCCUGAUUACAAGCAAUUAAGAAUUUUUGAAUGCAGGUGUUUCCCUUAAGCGAUUACAAUAAAAUAAAUUUGACAAAAAAUCUCUUCCAUGCGUUUUCCUUGGGUACAGCCCCAUACACAAGGGCUAUCGUUGUUUGGAUCCGGACACCAAACGUGUCUAUAUAUCUAUACAUGUGAAAUUUGAUGAAAGUGUAUUUCCUUUUGCUGAAUUAUCUCCUUUAAUGAAUUUGCAGGAAAAACUUAACAAUGAAGAAUAUCCUAGCAGUGAAGAAAACAAUUUGAUGCCAUCAAAUUCUUCAUCUUUACUUCCACGAUGUUGCUUAGAGUCAUGUGAAAGGCCCACAAUUGUUGAAAACAUGGACAUUUCAGAAGUUGUGAUGAUGCCAAACUUACCAUCUGGAGCUGAAAAAGGCAAAUCAAAAGGCAAUAACAGCUCUUAGAAUACUGGAGAAAAUGUCUCCAACACUAGCAAAGAAAUUGUAAUACAGCCAAUAGCCAUGCCAACUCAACCCCAAAAUUUGAUUGAAAUUACCAACCAUGACUUCCCUGAUAUAUCUAAUCGACUUUCCAUUGAAUUACCAAUUCAACCUGUGAAUGCAUUAUCCCAAACAAAAGCUACCACAAACAAUCAGCCUGUGACCUCAACCGAAACAAUUUCAAAUACACACCCAAUGGUCACCCGUCAUAAGUUAAAAAAUAACCCCAGUUUAUCAUUGCAAACAUCUAUUACUACUGAGCCAAAAACAUUGAAAAGUGCACUAAAAUAUCCUCAGUGGGUUACUGCAAUGAAGGAAGAACUUCAAGCCUUAAAUCAAAAUAACACAUAGACUCUUGUUCCUAGACCAAAAAAUGCAAAUAUUAUUGGGUCCAAGUGGGUGUAUCGAAUUAAGUACACAGAUACGGGAGCCAUUGAAAGAUUCAAAGCACGACUUGUAGCAAAAGGGUUUACACAAGUUCCUGGAAUUGACUAUGAAGAAACCUUUAGUCCAGUCAUCAAGCAGACAACAAUUAGACUUGUCGUAGCCCUUGCUGUGAAUCUCAACUGGUCAAUGAAACAACUUGAUGUGAGAAAUGCAUUUCUUCAUGGCCAUUUAAAUGAAACAGUGUACAUGGAGCAGCCACCAGGUUUUAUCAAUCCUAAACUACCAUCGCAUGUGUGCAAAUUGAACAAAUCACUCUACGGGCUUAAACAAGCCCCGUGAGCAUGGUUUGAUUGCUUGUGUCGUGCACUUCUUAAUCUUGGCUUCCAAAAUAGCAAGGCGGAUACUUCCCUUUUUAUACUGCAUUUUGAAUCUAAUAUUGUUUUAUUAUUGGUUUAUGUUGAUGAUGUGAUAAUAACGGGCAAUAAUAGUAAAAUAAUUCAACACAUCAUUUAUACUCUUAGUUCUCAAUUUACCUUAAAAGAUCUUGGCUCAUUAAAUUAUUUCUUAGGUAUUGAAAUCAAGAAAUUUAAACAAGGUAUCUUUCUUUCGCAGGCCAAAUACGCAAGGGAUUUACUUGACCAAACAAAGAUGCAAGAUAGUACAGUCGUUGCCACACCAAUGGCUGUGAAAGAGGUACCAAGAUUUGAUGAUGCACAACCGGUCAAUGCGACUGAGUAUCGACAAAUAGUGGGAAGCCUUCAAUACCUCACUUUUACUAGACCAGAUAUCACACAUGCAGUCAACAAAGUGUGUCAAAAUUUCCAACAACCAACGAAGGCUGAUCUUCGAGCUGUCAAACGGAUAUUGCGGUACCUCAAAGGGAUGCUUGACUUUGGACUUCGCUAUUUGAAACAAAGUUCCUUGACACUCUAUGGGUUCUCAGAUUCAGAUUGGGCGGGUUGCCCUUUAACUCGACGAAGUACUAGUGGCUUCUGCAUUUACCUUAGAUCAAAUUGUAUCUCAUGGAGUUCAAAAAAGCAAACCACCGUUGCUCGUUCGAGUGCAAAAGCUGAAUAUCGUUGCAUGGCAUCUACGGCAGUCGAACUCACUUGGCUUACGUACAUAUUCAAAGAGAUUGGCAUAAACUUGAUAAAGCCUCCAGUUCUUAUUUGUGACAAUAUCAGCGCCCUCCAUAUGUCAAAAAAUCAUGUUUUCCAUGCACGGACCAAGUACAUUGAGCUUGAUUAUCAUUUUGUUCGUGAAAAAGUAACAAGUGGACUACUCAACACAAGAUAUAUUCCAUCAUCACAACAAACAUAAGAAUAAAUUUCAAAUCAACCACAAUCAAGACAAUGACAGCAAGGCAAUCAUGAACUCUACAGAAGGAAGGAAUAAAUUUUCCAGCUAAAGGCUUACCAAGUUCAAGACUUGACAACAACAGCUAGUAAUAGUUUUAGCCUAAACUUUCUCAAAUCACAAUCUUCGUGGAUAUAAUAGGAAACUCUCCUAUGUCAAGCCAUAACAUAGUCCUAAAAUACCUCCUUAUCUUUGUAUAAAUUGUAUAGGAUCAUGUAAAGAAAAGAAGUGAAGAAGAAAUAAUAUUUUCCUUCAGCUAUUUAAUCUAUAUCAAAUUAUCUUUUACGACAUUGUGCAAAUGUAAGCGGCGGCCAUUAAGAAUGCAGAAACUAGGGAUAGUGGCCGGAGCGGGAGCUCGCCGAAAAGAAUCAUCAUCAACGCUACGGAUAUGAAAAAGGCUAAGGAAUUGAAGACAAUGACUGAUGGGAUAAAAUAUGGAUGCUGAUUCGCAAUCUGGCAGAAGGGACUUAGGCUUCUAGAAUUGCAUUCGUAGGCGUGCUCAGCUCUGCGUCCCAGGAUCUUCAAUUGUAUGCAGUGGCGGAGCCACUUGAGAAAAAAAUUAAAUUCAUUUUCGUUUUUAGUGGAUUUACAAUAAAGUCCCUGGUAAAUUUUUAAAAUAGCUAAAAGGCCAAUGUUUAAUAUAGAGCCUAGAAAUCCCAAAAAAAAAACCUCAAAAUCAAAUCUGUAACCACCCGUCUACACCACCGCAUCUUUGCAUUUUUUCUGGUACUACCGUCGCACCUCUGUAGCUUUCAUAUUGAAUUGAUUAAAUUAUUUUGAUACCUCUGCCACUUUAUGAUUUAAUAUUUUAAUUCCUGAAUUGGUUUAUGCCUUUUUGAAUUGAAUAAUAUUAUUAGCUUUCAGUUAUUGUGGCAAUGCUUCAUAGGUUGAUAAAGUGCCAUUGCUUUUAACUUUACUGAUUGUAAACAAUAGAAUAGUAAUGCCAUGGGUGAUGUCGUGAUGGGUUAGUAACUUAGUGGUUGAGAAUUUAGUUAGGCAGUUGGUUUAUUAAAUUAAUAUUUUGUAAUUUUUUCAUUCUUUUUAAAUUUUGACAUGGAAAUUGUCUUCAAUUUUUCUUUAAAUUCUCACAAUUAAUUGUGUUUGUUUGUCAUAGUUAGGAGAAAUAUUACUCAAGAAAGCCAUUGUUUCGAACUCAAGGGAGAUCACAACGCAAGGCUCAAAAGAUCACAAAUUUGCAUCGUUUUCGUGUUGAAUUAUUUUAUUUAAUUUUGGACAUGCAACUUCAAGAAUUAAGCAAUCGUUUCAAUGAGACGAAUACUGAAUUGCUUCUUUGUGUGGCAUGUCUAUACCCCAAUGACUCAUUUUGAUAAACAAAAACUGCUUCGCCUUGCUGAGUUUUAUCCAAAUGAUUUUUCUCUAGUGGAUCUUGUGGCUCUUGAAACUCAACUUGAUGUUUAUAUUAUGGAUGUGAGUUCUAACAAUAGUUUUUUAGGAUUGAAAGGGAUUGGUGAGCUAGCAAGAAAAUUUGUUGAGAUUAAGAAGUAUCAAUUAUAUUCAUUAGUUUAUUUAUUGGUGACAUUAGUAUUAAUUUUACUAGUUGCCACAUCUACAGUAGAAAGAGCAUCUUUAGCUAUGAAUUUUGUGAAAAAUUAUCUGCGAAAUCGGAUGAGACAUCAAUGGUUGAAUGAUAGUCUUGUUGUAUACAUACAAAAAGAUAUAUUUUGUAGUCUUAAUAAUGAGGUUAUUGUUCAACAUUUUCAAUAGAUGAAAUAUCGUCGAGGAUAGUUAUAAGUGUAGUAAAUUAACUAAUUUAAAUAAUUUUUAUUUUGAUAUAUGUUAUUUGUUAACUACUUUGUUGAAUUAAAUUACUAAUUGAACUUAACCCCCCGCUAAAAAUAAUUUCUGGCACCGGCACUGAUUGUAUGUGGAAGGUUGUGGUUGAUAACAGUGCUGAGAUGAGUAAUAAUAAAUUAUAUACAUUAACGCCUUUAGAGUGCUUCUUUCCUGUUUCCAUGGGCCAGUUAUGCCGCAAACUUGAAGCAGCUGAUGAGCUAGCUGUCCUCCAAGAUGAGAUGUCUAAAGCUGAAAAUUAAUACAAUAGCGGCAGAAUUCAAAUAUAAAAUUACAACAAACUAAAAAAAAAAACUGUUGGUGGCAAAAGAGAUCUAGCUAGAUUAGUUAAUAAAAAAACGAACACCGACAUAUAAAAGGUGACGAUCAAAUGAAAUUACGUAGGAAUCGCGAAAGAAAGAUUGCGGACUCAUCCCAAAGGAAUAGGAAAGACGGAAAAAAAGGACAAGAAAAAUGGAAGCAACCGCGUUGUUUACUUUGUUAUUUUAUUUGUGAAGCAUGCCGCUCGCAUUUUGCAGCUUGGAAAGCAUAUUGCUUGCUUGGUUAGUACUGUUGGAUUCAUGCCCAAAACAAGAGUUAAUAUGAGUUUUUAUUUUGAUGUCCAAUGUUUUUGUUUAAAGGUUUUUGUUGUUGUACUUAUUAUUUUUAACCAAAAAAAAAAACAAUUAAGCUGUUAAAGCAGUAAUAAUAUAGUAUAAUAUGUUAUCUCAAAUACAAAUUUAGAUUUUACAUCAUUUAAAAACUUAUGUAAUUAUUAUAAAGGAUAUAUAAACCUAGUAAUUUUAUGUUGUAAAUAAGCAAUUGUAUUAGUAAAAAAUUAUAUAUAUAUAUAGAUAUAAAGUAAGAUAAUAUAAUAUCAAUAAAGUGCUAUGGAUGUGGGAGCCAUUCAAUUAUGCUUAAAAAAAUGUCAAAGUUACAGUUCUACUGCUCUGGGCCCUGGUGAGAACACAGACGAAAAAGACUCGGUAUCAAAUAUGUUUCAUUUUCUAAACUAAUGCUUGAUUCGACUCUACCAAAUGCCUUUUUCUCUCUUUUUUUUUUUUUUUUUUUUUUUUUUUUUUUUUUUUUUUUUUUUUUUUGUUCUUGUAAAAUGAAAAAAAAAAUGAUGGGUGAAAAAUGGUAUUAUAUGAACCAAAAAAACAUUAUCAAUUUCAAAUUAUUUAUUCAUUUUCGUACUGACAAAAUGUCAAAGUUACAAUUAUACUGUGUCAAAAAAGUAAGCGGUGCAGCACUGCUCUUCUUUAGGUAAGAAGAAAAUAAUAAUAAUAAUAAAUAUAAAUAAUCAAAUAUUACAUGAACAAUAGCUAAUUUUUUUGGUUAUAAAUAGAGGAUGCUCCUCCUCAUUUCGAUCAGCAUCUGAUUUUUCUUUUCUUCUUCAAUUUCAUUUUGAGAAGAGAAAAGAAUAGUGAGAGUUGAAUGUUUUGCGAGUGAGAGAUUGGAUGUAUUGAGGUUCUGAUUAGUAAGAUAAAAUAUUACAAUAUUUGUAAUCCUCAUAUCAUUAGUGAAAUAUUUUCCUUUUAUCUUCGCUUGUGGAUGUAGGUUAAAAGCUUAACCACGUAAAUUUUAAUGUCACUGUGUGAUUUUGUGGUCUUAUUAUUUCUCAAUUUCACUUUAAUUACGUGCUUACUUCACCAAUCAAUUUCCCAAUACACUGGCCCUUAGCAAAAACAAAAUGGGAAAACAUAAGCAUAAAACGUGUUUCAUUUUCUUGAAAAAUAUAAAUCGAACCCUAAUUCAGCCCAACUAAACGUGUUUUUAUUAAUUUAUGUUCUUGCAAAAUAUAAAAUAAUAGGUGCAAAACAGGGGCAUUUGCACCCUGUGUUAAAUUUUUUACAUCUUAAUACAGCACAUUAAAAUACGUUUUAAUCCAUUUUGUGUCACCCUUGUGUCGCUGGCUUCUCUUGAGGCUAAAUAUCAUUAUUCAGCAUAUAUUUCUUUUCUUCCACUACGCUUACUUUCUCUUUUUGUUUGUGUUUUAAGAAAAGAAAAAUUUAUAAAUAACUUGUAUAUGAAAAAUAAUUAAUUAACAAAAUUUUUUUUGUGUAUCCUUCAUUAACUAGGUCUUUGUUUUAGGCAGUUGGGAUUUUAUUUGUUAGAGGUUUUGCAAAUCAAAAAGCAAUGGCAUAUGUAUUAUUUUAAUUGCAUAUUACUCUAUGUAAUUACAUGGGAGUCUCAAAGGAAAGAUUGCGGACUUAUAUCAAGGAAUAAAAAAAAAAAAAGGAAAAACAGGACAAGAAAAUGGAAGCAACUGCGUUUUUUACUUUUUUAUUUUAUUUAUGCACCACACUAUCACAGGCCGCUCAAAUUUCCCACAAACAGAGGCUGAAUUGGCCCGCAUGGGUUCGCUUAGUAAAAGUCUGUCUAAAAACAGGAUGUAGCAGCAGCAUGUGCUCAGCAAUACGCCAACUUAUACAAUUAGCGAGCCGAGGUGCGCUUAGCAAGCAGACAACCCAGGAUCACAAGCCUUCUAGAAAUCUUUACAACACACUAGCAAAGCUAGAGAAUUUUACACUUAUGUAUUCUAGAACCUAGAGAAUUUUUAGGCAACUUGCCCAACUUGUGUGGAACUCCCUAGACCUAGACAAGCCCCUCUAUAAAUAGGGAAAGGACCAACCAUUUUGCUCAACACCACACCACACACAACACCAAGUGGCUCAAGCAUCCUUGUAAGCUUUCUUGUAUUCUCUAUUGUGAGUAAUAAAAUUCGCUUCGGCCAUGUUGCUCAUUUCUCUUUUCUCUCCAUCUUUCUCACAUGCAUCUUUAUUUAGCUAGCUUAAAAAGUUCAUUAGGCUUACUUAACAAUUUUUGUGCUAGAAAGUUGUCUAAGUACAGUACGGGUUGCUUUGCAACAUACUCUUGGAAAGCAUAUUGCCUGGGAACUGUUGGAUUUAUGCCCAAAAAUAAGUUAAUAUGAGUUUUUAAUUUGAUGUCCAAUGUUAUUUUUAACCAAAACAAAGAGUUAAGCUAUUAAGGCUCUGUUUAGGAUUAAAAUUGGACAAUUAUACCUUAAAAGUUAUAGCAUUAAAGUGUUUGGUAAACAUUAACUGCUAUAACUUGGAAGCUAAACUUAUUUAAUUUUACAUUUGUAUGAUGAAAAAUCUAUUAUAUAUUUACUAAUUUUGUUGAAAUUAUUAUUUAAAAAUAAUAUUUACUAAGUAUUAUGAACUUCUAAUUCGCAAUUACAGUUUUCUUUCUAUAACAGCAGUAACUUAAAAGUUACAACACCUCAAUACCAUACAGAGCCUAAAGCUCUAAUAAAAUAGUAUAAUAUAUUAUCAUAAACACAAAUUUAGAUUUUAUAUCAUUUAAAAGCUUGUUUAAUAAUUAUAAAGUAUACAAUUAUAGUAAUUUUAUAUUUUUCAAAAACCAUUGUAUUAAUAAAAUUUUAACAUAUUGGUUAAAAAAACACACUAAAAGAGUAUAUCAGAAAAGUUAGAGAAUAUAAUAUCAAUAAGGUGCCAUGGACGUUGGGGGNNNNNNNNNNNNNNNNNNNNGGGGGGGGGGGGGGGGGGGGCGCCAUUUGAUUAUGCUUAAGAAAAUGUCAAAGUUGCAGUUCUACCAUACUGGGCCCUAGCGAAAACUAAAACGAAAAACUCAAGUAUAAAAUGUGCUUCAUUCUAAAAUCUAUAUUAAUGCUUGAUUCGACCCAACCAAAUGCCUUUUUCUUAUUUUAUUUUCUUGUAAAAUGAAAAAAAAAAAUGAUAGGUCAAAAAGGGUACCAUGCGCACCUCAAAAACUUAUCAAUUUCAAAUCAUUUAUUCAUUUUCGCACAAAAAAAAAAAAUGGAAAAUCAAAGUAUGAAACGUGUUUCAUUUUCUUCUAUAUGUGCUUUUCUUAAUUUAUAUUCUUGAAAAAUAUAAAAUAAUAGGAGUAAAACAAUACCAUUGGCUCCUGUGUUAAAUGUAGUACAUCUGAAAACAACACACUAAAAUAAGUUUUAAUUAAUCCAUUUUAUAUCACCCUUGUGUCACUAGUUGCUCUUAGGGUUAAAUAUCAUUAUUCAGCAUUCACGGAUCCAUAAAUCCUUCAAUGAUCAAGUCUUUAAAAAAGUAAUGAUUUAAAUUAUAUCUGAUUCUUCAGAAUGCGUAAAAUUCAUUCUCAUCUUUUACAUUUUCUCCGCAAACGUAACUCAAGUGUGUACUUGAGAAGGCACUUCAACGGUCUUGUCACUUUUAUGUUUAGUGAAUUUUAGUAAAUUUGGAGUUGGUUUUCUCUAACAGAUGAGAAAAUAGUCAAAAACUCAUUUCUCAAUCCUUUUGGCUCGUAUUUAUAGACCAAAAAGAGUGGAUUUGAUGGAAGAUUUGAUUUUAAAUCUAAAUCUACAGUGUUCUAUCUAUUUUUAUUUUUAUUUUAUGUCAUUAGAUUUAUAGCUGUUUUUUGCUAUAUUUUAGCUUUUGCCACAUGAUUUUGUUAACAAUUGUGUGCCUCUCAUUGCUAUAUUUUCGGAUUCGAUCAGCAACCUUUUUCGGGUUUCUUGUGAAUUUUCAUGAAAUUCUUUUGGACAAGCACUUACAAGCAUAUAUUUCUUUUUUUUCUAUUGUACUUCGCAUUUUUUUUUUAAAUUUUUGUGUUUUAAUAAAGAAAAAAGUUUCAAAUAAUGUGCGUGUGAGAAAUAAUUAAUUAAAAACAAAAUUUUGUGUAUCCUUCAUUAACUAGGUCUUUGUUUUUGGCACUUGGAUUUCAUUUGUUAGAGGUAUUGUGUGUGUGUGUGUGUAUAUAUAUAUAUAUAUAUAAUUUUGCAUAUUCUUCUUAAGCCACGUCUAUUUUCACAUUUUUGCUUCAUUUAGACAUUUAGCAUUGCUUUCAAAACUAAUAAAAUUUGGGUGUAUUUGGUGUGACUUAUAAAGAGAGUGACACUCUACUGCACAUGCGGAAUUGAAAAUUGGGAGAGGGAGAACUUGAUUGAAUGAAGAUGCAAUGAAGUGCAGUCUAUGAUAAUUGAAUAUCGUUGAAUAUCGUUAUCUACUGGUUACGAGGUCAUUUUAAUAAUUUUUUUUGUAUUAUGUUAUACACAGAUUGUUACUGAUAUUACAUCAGAUAUUACAAUUAACAAUUACAAUAUUUACAAUCGUACUAAACAACUGGGACCACCGCCAUAUACAUACAUUAACUCACUGAAGCACUUGUCCAAAUACUUUAAACCCUCUCUAAUAUUCGAGGGGUGCCUACUCCACUUACAUUUCAUAAGGGAGAGACCGUUUCUACUCAAUUAGUUAAUAAUUGAGGGAGUACUGAAAAUAACCUCUAUAAUGCUAUUAUGGAGGCUCGAACUCUUGCACUUAACAUUGUAAGUGCAAAACUUCUCCCAUCAGACCCAAGGCCCAUUGGAGUACUGAAACUAAUAUAUUUGGAAUGCAGUUUUCAAAUUAUCGGGGUGUUAUACGGUUGUUACUUAGGUGUGCGGAUUUAUAACAGAAAUUUAUGGGGUGUCAAAAGCUUGACUCAGAAUUAAAGCGAUGGCUUGAAUUGGUCUUAAAUUUGAUGGGUGUGGAUUGGGCUGAUAUCAGGGACACUGGGUUCGAGAGACAGAGAUGGAUCCGCUAUAGAGCCGCCCAUUCCCAUUUGUCGGGUUUAGUCCAUCGAAAAUUGAAACUUGAAAGUCGUCUUCCUCCCAUGGGGAACAAGGAGAGAAAUUUUCAGGACGUUUACGGGAAAGAGAAGAGGGAAAAAAGCAAAAUACAAAAAGGGGAUGCUCGUAGCUUCUACGAUACUUCCAAAAUUCAAUGGGAUGUAUGCAUUGCCAUGUCCUCACGCUAUAGAAAGUCUGGUUUGCCAGUGUAAAAUACUUUUAUAAUCUGAAAAAUUAAUUUACAACGUUUUAAGAGCUUUAUAUAUAUAUAUAAAACAAUUGUAUUUCAUAAAAACUUUAUAUGUUAAUCAAUAUUAUUCAAAUGUCCAGUAUCUUUUUUUUGAAUUUUUUGUCUUAAAAUUUUGUUAAAAAUGUGCCCAACUGGAUCUAGUUAUGGCACCCGAUUUGUUGUGCUAUGUAAUAUGUGUUUAUUUUCAUUAUUAAUAGAUGUUGUAUAUAUCAACCUAGAUAUCUUGGGGAAAUUUACGAAAAUAACCAUUAUUAUUUUAUUAUUUUUGCAAUUAACCCUCUCAACUUUUUUCUAUCAACAUUAGCCAAACACAAGCCUUUCUUCCCAAAUUACCCUUCUUUACAUAACAAAAUCAACAUCGUUUCUCCCAUAUCGCCAAACCAAAAGCAGCUUUUCGCUCUUGAAUCAUCAGUCAACGGCGACCGCAAAAACAUCGAUAAAAGUGAUAUCCGAUCAUAAUUUAUCCGGAUCCAACACAAAUCGACAUCCGGAUCCAACACAAAUCGACAUCACUUAGUGGUAUGAGUUAUUUUGUGAACUUACUGAACUGAAUCGGGUAAAUCUGAAUCUGGCGACAGGCUGCCUGUCGCAGCAAAACUUGGUGCGACAGGUUGUUGGUGCGACAGGCAACCUGUCGCAUCAAGCAAGGUGCGACAGGUGCCUGUCGCACCAAGCAAGGUGCGACAGGCACCCUGUCGCACCAAGAUUCGGGCGACAGGUUGCCUGUCGCACCCACCAUUAAAUACAUCAUUAAAACUGUAUUAUUUUAAUAUGGCUGAAAUAAUUUUUUUUUAAUAAUUUCCGCGCGCUGCUGCCCAGCGAUGGGCGCGCGCGCGCGCCCUGCCCCCCUCCCUCCCCACCCGCAAAAUUAAGCACAAUCACUCCAAAAUCGAAAACAAUACUCCCAAACACCACCAACCACCACAAACAUCAUCACCACCACUAUUAAUCUCAAGCUAUAACUAUUAUUAUUCUAAAAUCUCAUUUUAAAUUAAUGAAAAUAAGAAAAAUGACUAACCUAGAUUUUGUUGAAGGUUGUAGAUCGUAGAUCGUAGAUCGGAUGCCGGUGAGAGAUGGAGCCGCCGCCGACGAGGGUUGAUGUCGCCGCCGAUGAUGGGAGUUGGAUCGGUUUGGGAGAGAUGAGUGAAAGGGAGUGUUGGGGGAGAGAUGAGGGAGGGGUAUUUUGGUCUCAAAUGUUGUUUUAUGGCUAAUGUUGAUAGAAAUAUUUUUGGGGGGUUAAGAUGAAAAAAAAGGAAAUUUUUUUGGUUAUUACUGUAAAUUUCCCGAUAUCUUGUCAAUUGAAGCAAUUGAUCUUAUGAAAGUUCAAUAAGUCGGAUAUGUAAUAUAUCAGCAUUUAAGUACGAACAGUAUAAAAUUCCAAUUUUUUUUAUUAAAUUGAAGGUAUUGAAGAAGUAUAUACCUGCAUUGUUCAUUUCCCUGAAUUAUCCACCACAAGGUCCAUCCUUCUCUUCGUAGAGAUGCCGCGUUUUCGUGCAAUUCGUUCCAUUUGAAGUUACAUGGUGAGGGGGAAAGAAACAAGAAAGUUCUUGGAUUUUUUACUUAUUCUUUUUUUUUUUAAUUUUACAUACAAUUAAUUUGCAUACACACACACACACAUAUAUAUAUAUAUGUGUGUGUGUGUAGACGGACUAAGAAACCUCACCCUAGAAAAAAAGAAAAGUUGUAAUUAAUUAACAACACAAGAGUGAUGUGAGCUCAACUGCGAGAUGGGAAGAAGAAUGUAACACAUAAACACAGUGUGAGUGUCUGUCAAUUGUCAUGGCUAACUUGGAGCAGUUGUUUCAGGAAGCUUGCCAAAAAAACGAUGUCGAAGAAGUCAAGUCAUUAAAUUCAAAGCAUCCGAAUUUACUGGAUGAGAUUAUAAGAGCAUGCCAACGCUCGGAGGAUCCUCUGCUCAUCACCGCCUGCUUGCCUGGAAGCCUUGAAGCAGCUAAAGAAAUGGCAAGGCUGUGGCCUCAACUUGCCAGUAUUAAAAAUCAGCGAGGUGAAACAACCAUGCACUUACUUUCUACGGAUGGGGAUGCCGAGAUGGUUCGGACUUUCGGAGAGAUUAAUCGUGAACUGUGCCUUGAAGUAGACAACUCUUCAAUGAUACCGCUACACAGAGCAGCUUUGGAAGGUAAUUCUGAUGUUAUUAGGGCUUUAGUUUCUAUUUGCCCGGAGUCUCUUGAGAAGCUGACUUCAAAUGGAGAGACGGCCCUACACCUUGCUGUGAAGAAGUCCCGAUCGGACGCCUUUCAAGCCUUGGUGGAUGAGGCUAAGAGUCACAGAAAAGAGCAUCUCUUCACUUGGAAAGACAAGGAGGGCAAUACAGUAUUGCACCUUGCCACACUUAACAAAUUAGAGCAGGUAAGCUCUCUGUCUCUUGCAAACACAGUUUUUGAAUUUUGAUUGCCAAAACAUAACGCAUCCCUUGACAAUCCUGUUGCGUUCAUUGCAGAUUGUGGAGCUACUCAUCCGUGAGAAUUCCAAUAGGCGCAUAAUGAUUCGAAUUAACACCGUGAAUAAGCAGGGACAAACAGCCUUACAGUUAUGCAAUGCUAAUUCUCAGGACUCUGCUUUCAAGGAAAUAGGCUGGAUCAUUCAACAAGCUAUUGCUCAGCAAUAUCCGCAGCUCCCUGCAGAUGGAACCGCCAAUAGCAGCAGGAACCAAACACGGUGGCCCAUACAGACAAGAAACGUGUUAUUGAUGGUAGUAGUAACGAUUGCUGCAGCAUUUUUCACGGUAGCUUGCAAUUUGCCAGAUUCCUUACUCAGAGAGGAUACUCUUGCCGGUAAAAGUUUUUAACUAAAUUAUUAUUUUUCUUUUGGUAGUGUUUACAAUUUGCUAAAGAAGAUUAUCUUGCAGUUAAAACAUUGCAUGCUGAUAAGGAUGACGUACUCAGUAAGUUGCCAACCGUUGUCUACAUCAUGAUUUUCAACUCUGCUGGGUUCUUGACUACCAUGUUUGCGAUUGUAUUGCUCGUAUGGCCGUUACAUUUGAGAACAUUUCUGCUCUUCCUUGUAAUCUGCACGGCCAUUGUUUAUAUUCUCUUAGUGGACGAGAUCAUACCUAAAUUCUAUGUGAAAGUCGGGAAAUCAAGCAUCUCAAGCAAUGGGUUGGUGUGGUCAUUAGUCCUUGCCCUCAUUUUGUUCGGAAUGGCUGUACUAAGUAUGGGGAAAUUCACUUUGUCCUUUUGGCGCUUCAUUAUCUGUUUGCGGAGGAAUAGAACCAAUCCAGGGCAACAGUCUUGAAGAUCUUCACGAAAUCACUGCCUUAUAGUUAUCAAGAGGCUUAAAUCAUUACCGACUACCUGGUUAAUUUAGCCCUUGCUUGUCAUAAUUUCACUUGGUGGGAUGCUCCACAUCCUGAAAUGUCAAAGAUGCUUUUUAUGAUGCUAAUGGUUUCCUUCGUCAUCAAUUUUACUUAUGAUGCUAAUGGUUUCCUUUGUCAUCAAUUGUACAUAGUUUAUGUUGUUUCAUCUCCAUUUAUUUCUCCACUGUAAUAGGCGUUUCGAGAUUUUUAAGGGGUAAUUUGGUGUACUGCUACUUUAUUUAAGAGUGCAAGUGACAUAUCAUGUUGCCAUGAGAAGCUUCAAAUAUGUCUUCUAACAAAAGGAAGUUAGCUUCCUUUGUCAUUGCAAAUAAUGAUCUCUUUCUAAAUAGGAUCCUUGUUAAUUUACGCACAAAAGAAAAAAUAACUAUUAAGAUUCAAAUCUGUUUCAAGACACCGGCUCUCUCUCAUUCCCAGUCCUGAUUUCUCUCUCCACCUUUACCCGGACAGCCAUUUAGUCUCAGGGCUCGUCUUGCACAGGAGUUCUUUUCUCAUUAAUCCAGACCACAGUUUUGUCCCUCUUAAAGACAAGCCAAGUCUUGCGCCCUUUAAAUGCCUUAAUGUUUUGAAAUAGUUGUUCAGGUUUACGAAUUGAGCAAUCUUCUCAUUGGGUUUCUAUUUUGUUCCAGCUUUGACUAUAGCAACUGGUAGUACAUUUAUAUUUAUAUACAAUCCUACGACGGAGCAAUUUGCUGUACUUCCUCUACCCAGCGGCCAAAUUGUUCAAUGAUGUUAGUUUAGCUUAUGAUCCUGUAAAGUCACCCCACUAUAAAUUUGUACAUUUUAAACUUGUAUGUGUUGAUUGUUUUCAAUCAUCUGUUCCUGUAAAAGAUGCUUACCUCAAUUAUGAAAUUGAAAUAUACUUGGGGGCUCUCUGGUUGAUGAAACAUAAUUAGCUUGAGGGGUUAAUUACAUAUUUCAGGCCAUCAAGCUAAAACACAAAAAGACUGUUCUGAGUCAGGGGUUGUCUCCUCUCACAGGAUAAACCCAAAUGCAUAACUUGUCAAUUAACACAAUUGGUUACAUGAUUGGUUACUCUUUUUGCUCUAGCAGUACCCAAAAACUCUGUUUCAUUUGUCUUGCUGGAAUUAACCCUACUUCCGAUCGUUGAUGUUAUAUAGAAUUACUGGAUCGGUGGCUGCAAUGUUUAUGCACCCAGGUCAAUUUAGGUGGUUAUAAACUGAAGUAAAACUACUAGUGAAUCAACUGUAAAAGUUUUAUUGAUAACCAUGCCUGCUGGCAUGACAGUUUUCAGACUGUUCAUAUUUUACAUUCAUAAUUUAUUAAUACAGCAGUGUCAAACGUUAAACACACCAGACAUCUUAAUAAUAAAAAUAGGAACUUAAUUGUCUGCUUACACCACAUCUAGUGUAUUGAUCGAUGCAAAUCCAUAGGACAUAAUGAGCUUAAUUAUUGCAAUAGUGUGUCGCAUUCCAAAGAAAAUAUGUCAUCUUCCAGGAACCUUAAAAUGUUGAGUAGAAUGGGCUCAAGUUAGGCUUUGUAGGGCCAGAUAUUAUGCACAUGUAAGCACCGAGCAUGGAAAAUGCAGAUACCAGAAGCAAUGGCCUAAGCGGAAGCUUAUUGAAGAAAAUCAUCAUCAAUGCUAUGGAUAAGAAAAAGGCAACGGAAUUGAAGGUAGUGACGAGUCGGGCAUGGUGCUCUUCAAAUGGGAUGACUUGGACGGCCAUUGAAGUGGCUGCUCAUCUUCAUCAUGAGCCCUCCAAGCUCCACUCUCUAGCUGAGCCAUCUUCAUUUCCAUAUCUGUCUUCCCAGAUUGCGCCGACACAGAUGACAUGUCCAAAGCUGUUAACUCAGCAUUCUCCAUAGCACUAACCUUGGCUAUGGAGAAAUCGGACAGAUUACAUUUAAAAGUCUGCAUAGCGUAGCAAGAAUAAAAUCAGAUAAGACAUAAGGCAGUGGUAACAAAAGAUAUCGAGUGUAAACUAACCUCAUCGAGCAGUAUAUUGGAGGCCUUAAAAUCUCUGUGAAAACCUGCUUCUCUGAACUAAGUAAAAAAGCCAGGCCUUGACAAAUUUUCGUGACAAUUUCAAGUCGUUCAGCACGAGGCGAUUGUUGAACAGAGGCAGGAUGUUCUGCACUGCCAAGCAGGAAGACAGUUAAUGCAAAUCUUUUAUAAUUUAUUUUCUUUCUUUAAUUAUCUGAGGUCCUUACCUCCUAAAUGAACAUUUUCCAAGCAUUUCUUCUGCAUGAGCCAUUUAUUCUUCCAGUAAUAUCUUUUGUCUCCUGUUAGGCAUAUAUUCGUUGACCAAUAUCCUUGUGAAGACCUAAUCUUGGCUUCUGUUUGCGAUUUCCUUGUGUAGGCUAUAAAGAUAUCGAGAGAAGGCUGAUUUGUAGACUGCUAAAUUAUAUAUUUAUUGAGCAACAAAAUCAUCUAUUUAUACAGCAUAAUGAAAACUAAAGUGCAGAAAAAUCUGCUACAUUUGAGCAUCAUAACUAAGUGCAGGAAAAUAGCAUGAAGAAGUGGUCAUAGUCCUAAAAAAUAGCAACAGAAAAAAAACUGAUUUAACUUCAUGAGUCAUUCCAGUCAACAUUCUCCUCCUUGACUCUGGAGCUGCAUACACCAAGCUUUUGCCUCAAGAAUUCAUAUCUAAUCUUUGGAAGUGCUUUUGUUAAGAUGUGAGCACUUUGAUUCUCUGUUUUGCAGUAGAUCAGCUGCACUUCUCAUUCUCUUUGUACCUCUCUUAGAAAAUAAAGUUUAAUCUUGAAGUGUUUUGUUUUGCCAUGGAACACUGGAUUAUUAGCAAUUGAAAUUGCAGCUUGGUUGUCCACAAAUAUUUGUGUGCCUUCUUGUUGUUCCAUAUGCAAAUCUGUCAUGAGUUUCUUGAUCCAAAGAGCUUGAUUCACAGCUGCAGCAACAGCUACAUAUUCUGCUUUUGCUGUGGAUUGAGCUAUGACUUCUUGCUUCUUAGAACACCAUGAAAAAAUUCCAGAACCAAAGCUAAAACAGUAACCUGAGGUGCUUCUCAUGUCAUCAACACACCUAGCCCAAUCACUAUCAGAAUAUCCAUGAAGAUGGAAGUUUUUAACUUGAUUAAACUUUAUUCCAUAAUCAAUUGUGCCCUUAACAUAUCUAAGAAUUCUUUUUGCUGCCUGAAAAUGAAUUUUACUGGCACAGUGCAUAUACCUUGAUAGCAAACUCACUGCAUGCAUGAUAUCUGGCCUGGUUGCAGUUAAAUACAUUAGGCAGCCUAUUAGGCUCCUGUACAGCAUUUCAUCCACCUUUUCAGCUCCAUCUUCUUUGCAAAACUUCUCCUUUUGAUUCAUUAGAGUUGCAGUUGGCUUGCACUCUUCCAUGUUGAAUUUCUUGAGAACUUUGCAUAUUUUUGCUGGGAUAGAAAUAUUUCAUUUUCCUUUUGAUGUACCUGCAUACCAAGGAAAAAUGUCAUCCUCCCAAGGUCUGUCAUUUCAAAGACAUCUUUCAUUUCUUCUUUAAACCUGUCAAUCAACUCCUUGCUACUUCCUGUAACGAGUAGAUCAUCAACAUACAGAGAUACCACAAGUACUUCGUUAUCAGCCUUCUUGAUAUAUAAAAUAGAUUCACUCAGACUUUUUUCGAAGCCUAAGUUUGUUAAGUGUGUGUCAAUUCUGCUAUACCAGGACCUUGAUGCCUAUUUUAAAUCGUACAGGGCUUUCUUCAGUCAAUAGACCUUCUCAUCUUGUCCUGGAAAAACAAACCCUUCAGGUUGCUCCACAAAAAUCUCUUCCUCCAAGUAUCCAUUCAAAAAGGUUGAUUUGACAUCCAUUUGGUGUAUAACCCAACCUUGCUGUGCAACAAGAGCUAGCGACAUCCUUAUGGUAUCCAACCUGGCAACAUGGGCAAAAGUUUCAGAAAAAAUCUACCCCAAACAUCUGGGCAUAUCCCUUGACAACAAGUCUUGCCUUGUGCUUGUUUACAGAACCAUCAGGAUUGAGCUUGGUCAUGUAAACCCACUUGACUCCUAUAGCUUUCUUGUGUUCAGGUCUGUCUACCAAUUCCCAUGUCUGAUUCUUUUCAAUUAUUUUUAGCUCGUCCUUCAUUGCAGUUAUCCACUUCUGAUCAUUUGCAGCUUCUUCAUACCCUGCAGGCUCCAUUACAGCAAUAUUACACAUCUGAUAGAUGUCAGAGAGUGAUCUGGUUCCUCUAACAUUUUCAUCGUCCGUAUCAUCAUUCUCUUCGACCUCAAGCUUCUUGUCAUUUUCCCAACUCCAAUUAUCUAACUCAAAGAAUUGAACAUCCCUGCUGACGAUUACUUUGUUUCUUUGCGGUAAGUAAAUCUUGUAGGCUUUUGAGGUUGAGCUAUAGCCUACAAAAAUCCCAAGUUCUGCUUUUUUGUCUAAUUUGUCUCUCUUCACUUGAGGGAUGUAAGAGAAACAUAGACAACCAAAUAUCUUCAGAUUAAACAGCUUUGGUUUGUAGCCAUACCAUGCUUCAAAUGGAGUCUUUUUCUGUAAAGCUUUUGUUGGCAAUCUGUUCAAUAAAAAAACUGCAGUGUUUACGGCCUCAGCCCAAAAUUUCUUCGGCGGCCCUUUAUCAUGAAGCAAGCAUCUUGCCAUCUCCAUUAUUGUCCGGUUUUUUCUCUCCACAACACCAUUUUACUGAGGAGUGUAAGGUGUAUCCAUGAAGAUGGAAGUUUUUAACUUGAUUAAACUUUAUUCCAUAAUCAAUUGUGCCCUUAACAUAUCUAAGAAUUCUUUUUGCUGCCUGAAAAUGAAUUUUACUGGCACAGUGCAUAUACCUUGAUAGCAAACUCACUGCAUGCAUGAUAUCUGGCCUGGUUGCAGUUAAAUACAUUAGGCAGCCUAUUAGGCUCCUGUACAGCAUUUCAUCCACCUUUUCAGCUCCAUCUUCUUUGCAAAACUUCUCCUUUUGAUUCAUUAGAGUUGCAGUUGGCUUGCACUCUUCCAUGUUGAAUUUCUUGAGAACUUUGCAUAUUUUUGCUGGGAUAGAAAUAUUUCAUUUUCCUUUUGAUGUACCUGCAUACCAAGGAAAAAUGUCAUCCUCCCAAGGUCUGUCAUUUCAAAGACAUCUUUCAUUUCUUCUUUAAACCUGUCAAUCAACUCCUUGCUACUUCCUGUAACGAGUAGAUCAUCAACAUACAGAGAUACCACAAGUACUUCGUUAUCAGCCUUCUUGAUAUAUAAAAUAGAUUCACUCAGACUUUUUUCGAAGCCUAAGUUUGUUAAGUGUGUGUCAAUUCUGCUAUACCAGGACCUUGAUGCCUAUUUUAAAUCGUACAGGGCUUUCUUCAGUCAAUAGACCUUCUCAUCUUGUCCUGGAAAAACAAACCCUUCAGGUUGCUCCACAAAAAUCUCUUCCUCCAAGUAUCCAUUCAAAAAGGUUGAUUUGACAUCCAUUUGGUGUAUAACCCAACCUUGCUGUGCAACAAGAGCUAGCGACAUCCUUAUGGUAUCCAACCUGGCAACAUGGGCAAAAGUUUCAGAAAAAAUCUACCCCAAACAUCUGGGCAUAUCCCUUGACAACAAGUCUUGCCUUGUGCUUGUUUACAGAACCAUCAGGAUUGAGCUUGGUCAUGUAAACCCACUUGACUCCUAUAGCUUUCUUGUGUUCAGGUCUGUCUACCAAUUCCCAUGUCUGAUUCUUUUCAAUUAUUUUUAGCUCGUCCUUCAUUGCAGUUAUCCACUUCUGAUCAUUUGCAGCUUCUUCAUACCCUGCAGGCUCCAUUACAGCAAUAUUACACAUCUGAUAGAUGUCAGAGAGUGAUCUGGUUCCUCUAACAUUUUCAUCGUCCGUAUCAUCAUUCUCUUCGACCUCAAGCUUCUUGUCAUUUUCCCAACUCCAAUUAUCUAACUCAAAGAAUUGAACAUCCCUGCUGACGAUUACUUUGUUUCUUUGCGGUAAGUAAAUCUUGUAGGCUUUUGAGGUUGAGCUAUAGCCUACAAAAAUCCCAAGUUCUGCUUUUUUGUCUAAUUUGUCUCUCUUCACUUGAGGGAUGUAAGAGAAACAUAGACAACCAAAUAUCUUCAGAUUAAACAGCUUUGGUUUGUAGCCAUACCAUGCUUCAAAUGGAGUCUUUUUCUGUAAAGCUUUUGUUGGCAAUCUGUUCAAUAAAAAAACUGCAGUGUUUACGGCCUCAGCCCAAAAUUUCUUCGGCGGCCCUUUAUCAUGAAGCAAGCAUCUUGCCAUCUCCAUUAUUGUCCGGUUUUUUCUCUCCACAACACCAUUUUACUGAGGAGUGUAAGGUGUUGUCAGCUGAUGUUCAAUGCCUGCAUCUUCACAAAACUUGUUAAAUUUUUCAGAGGUAUAUUCCAUUCCAUUAUCAGACCUGAUCACCUGCAUCUUGCAUCUGCUUUGAGUUUCAACCCAAGCUUUAAACUUCACAAAGAUGUCAGCAACCUUAUAUUUAAGCUUCAUAAAAUAAAACUAGCACAUUCUUGAGUAAUCAUCAAUGAAAACAAUAUAAUACUUACUGUUAUUCAAAGAUGGUGUUUUCAUUGGCCCUCCCACAUCUGUGUGUAUUAAUUGCAACCUCUGUAUAGCCCUCCAGGUCUUAUUUUGUUGAAAUGGAAUCCUGGUUUGCUUUCCAUACUGACAGGCAGCACAUUUAGGAGACUCCUCCUCUAAUUCAGGCAAGCCUUUGACUAGAUUGUUGUUCUUCAUGUAGAGUAGAGUUAUAUGAUAGAAAUGCCCUAACCUCUUGUGCCAAAGCACUGUAAUGUUAUCUUCUCUAUGUACAGAAGCAUGCUCUUCUUUCAUUAAAUCCAAGGCAAAGCUUUUGCCUUUCAUUUGAACUUUGAAUACUUCUUUGUCUUUUGCAUCUUUGAUCACACAGUUCUUGUCUUCAAACAGCACCUUAUAGCCUUUUUCUAACAACUGAGUAACACUCAAAAGAUUUUGAUUAAUUUCAGGAACAUAUAAAACAUCAUAAAUCAAUUUCAGACCUGUAUGGCCUUCAAUCGCUACUGUUCCUUUACUUUUUACUGCAAUGUGUGCCCCAUUUCCAAUUCUGACUUUGGAAAUAGUAGUCUCAUCAAGCUCUUUGAAGAGCUCUCGAUCAUAAGUCAUGUGGUUUGUACAGCCACUAUCUAUAAGCCAACUCUCUGUGGAGCUGUUGGUGGCAAAGCAUGAUACCACAAACAGUUGUUCCUCUUGGAGUUGAUCCUUAAUAACAUUGGCUUCUCUUUGUUGUUGUUGAGUCUUGCAUAUCCUUUCCACGUGCCCUAACUGACCACACUUGUGACACUUUGCAUCUGGCCUCCACCAACACUUAUUUUGUGGAUGAUUGGUUUUUUUGCAGUAAGGGCAAGGUGAAAAGACAUGAGUGUUGCUGCUUUGGCUAUUUUUGUUACUGCUUGCAAAACCUCCAAGCUUGUUGUCUUUGUUCUGUUUUUUCUUAUUUUUGCCACCUUUAUUGUUUUGUGAUUUGGCUUGAAAAGCACCCUCCACAUAUCCUUCUUGUCUCAUAAGCCUCAUUUGUUCCAGUGCCUGCAGUGCAUUCAACAAUUCUGCCAAGGUAAUACUUGACAGAUCUCUUGAGUUUUCCAAAAAUGAAAUUGUAGCCUCAAACUUUUAGGAACUGUGACUAGGAUUUUUUGGACAACUCUAGAAUCAGAAAAAUCAAUGCCAAGGAGUCUUACCUUGUUGACAAUCUUAAAAAGUCUGUCAUAAUAUUCUUGAAUUGUUUCUGAUUCUUUCAUCUUUUGCAUCUCAAAUUCUCGAAUCAAAUUCAGCACUUGCAUCCCUUUGACCCUUUCAUUUCCUUUGUAUUCUUGCUUCAAAAAAUCCCAAAUUUCCUUGGUUGUUUUGAGCGUCAUUAUUCUGAUUUGUAGGCUAUAAAGAUAUCGAGAGAAGGCUGAUUUGCAGACUGCUAAAUUAUAUAUUUAUUGAGCAACAAAAUCAUCAUUUAUACAACAUAAUGAAAAUUAAAGUGCAGAAAAAUCUGCUACAUUUGAGCAUCAUAACUAAGUGUAGAAAAAUAGCAUGAAGAAGUGGUUAUAGUCUUAAAAAAUAGCAACAGAAAAAAAAAACUGAUUUAACUUCAUGAGUCAUUCCAGUCAACACCUUAGCAGUCCUCGUGCACACGAGCAACUGACUAUUACGAAUCUCCUCGAUCAUUGCUUUGAUCAUGAGGAGGCUACAAUCUCGCGGUAGCGUUUUAAUCACCCAAACAAAAACCCUAAAAGUUUUGAAUCAAAUUAACCUUAAUACAACAUACAUCACGCAUUACACUUCAAAAUUAACAAGAUUAAAAACGACUCAAUAAAACACCUUUUUUUUUUAUAAUAUUGACCAUGAUGAGUGCGCCUGCAAGUUAUUUGAGAAAUUGACUGCUAUGAGCACAUACGAGGCAAAAAGAAUCUUAUAUCAUGCACAUGUAGGCAGCAAGCAUUGAAAAUACAGAAACUAGCAGCAAUGGCUUGAGCGGAAACCCAUAAAAGAGAAUUGUCAUAAAUGCUAAGCAUAAGAAAAAGGCAGCGAAAUUGAGGGUGAUUAGUAAUUGGAAUAAAUACAGAUGUCUAAUCACAAUCCGACAGAAGGGAUUUAGACUUGAAAUCUGUAAGAAAAAUAAACACACAGUGAGAUAACAAUUCAAUACAGUAGCUAAUAUAAAACAGCAACCGAAAAUCACAAAUUCACAAAUGGAAAAACAGAAGAGAAAUGAAACCGAAACAGAAAAUUAAACCCGAGGCCUGCACUGGACAGUUUUCUUAAAACAGAUUUAUCACAUACUGUAUUGCUUUAGGUUUGCUGGUAACUGUUUCCCAUGAUACAACGGGUACGAAUUAUCCGUCAAGCACAAACUGAUAAUUCCGGCGAACCACAACAGCGUACAAGCUCGAUCAGAACAGAACAAUGAAAGGAAGAAAGAAAUUUUGGAGUGCUCUUUGUGCUGGUUUCAAUGUGUGUAAAAACAGAAGAGGAGGUGCCUUUUUAUACUCAUGUGAGGAUGUAACAGCAGCAUUGUAUUGAAUUUCUGAAUUCAAUAUAUGCCAUUAAAUAGUUAUAACAACCAAUUCAAUUCAAUCAAUUGAUUUAAAAAUUGAAUUCCAAAAAACGUGAAUAGUAUAACAGCUAAAAUAAUGGUUGUGAAGCUGUUACAAAUCCUUUGAAUUCAAAACGUGAAACUAUUACAACAAAAAAUUUAAAAGGAAAUUAAAAACAUGCCAUGCAACCUCGGAUGAUUUUGGGCUGACAUUCGCAUACACGUGGGCGCACACGAGUUCAACCAAAUCGGUCUUGGAUUUGCACCCCCUGCGCACGCGCAUGUGGAGAGAGUCUCUAUCCUUAUAAUUCUUAUUCAUGCACGGUUAAGUGUUUAUAAAUAAACACUAAUCCCUUGGCUUCUUUUUCCCAUGUGGGAUAAGCCUCAUUUUCCUUUCAAAUUUCCAACUUCAAGGGUGAACUUUGGGAGACAAUUUCUCAUUCACCCAAACACCAUUUUGAGAAAAUAAAAUUACACUUUUGAAGUAUUAACGGAAUAGAAUCCGAACCUCACAAGAUUUCUCACUUUCACUAAGUGGGACCCACUCAAAAUGUGCCCUCAAAAUAGCAUAUAGAUAUGCUAUUUUUUCAACAAAAUUUGCUGGAAACCUUUUUAUGAUCUACAGCCCAAGAUCUUCAAUGCUACGUGGAAUAUUAUGGUUGAUAACAAUGCCAACAGUAACAGUGGAUGAAAGACAUAGCCUUUAGACUUAUUUUUGGUUUUCAUAUUGAGCCAGGUGUUCAGCAAAUGCGAUGAGAGGUGCCCUCAUUUAAAUCCCUUCCUCAUUUGAUCAUAUUUAGCUCCAAAAGCACGCCAUACAUGUUGAGUUGCCUUAAUUUUCAGUUCUGUCUUCCCAGCUUGCGAUAAGUCUUCUAAUACAUUCAACGUUGUACACUCACCACCAUCCAUUAAGUUAACCUUCGCAGUGGAGUUAUGAGGUGUAUCAUCCAGGAAAGAUUUUGGAGUCUGCAACAUGCAUAAAAAGAGGGCAGAGGCUGGGAAAUAAGAAUUAAUCAAAGUACUUCUAUGGAUAGUGUUAAAAUGAACAUAAGAAAUAGAGGCAAGGAUCAAAAUGAAUAAUAACCUCUUCAAGCAGUAUACUUGAGGGAUUGAGAUCUCUGUAAAUAUUUUGCUUCUCAGAACUUUGCAUGGCAACCAGGGUUUUAGCAACUCCAGUGGUAAUUUCAAGUCUUUUAUCCCAAUAUCCUUCUUUGAUGGAAAAUGAUUCUGCACAACUAGGCAAUUCAAUGAUUACUAUAAAAAUAUCCAUAGAUAUGCAAUCUUUAUUUUCUUUUNNNNNNNNNNNNNNNNNNNNNNNNNNNNNNNNNNNNNNNNNNNNNNNNNNNNNNNNNNNNNNNNNNNNNNNNNNNNNNNNNNNNNNNNNNNNNNNNNNNNNNNNNNNNNNNNNNNNNNNNNNNNNNNNNNNNNNNNNNNNNNNNNNNNNNNNNNNNNNNNNNNNNNNNNNNNNNNNNNNNNNNNNNNNNNNNNNNNNNNNNNNNNNNNNNNNNNNNNNNNNNNNNNNNNNNNNNNNNNNNNNNNNNNNNNNNNNNNNNNNNNNNNNNNNNNNNNNNNNNNNNNNNNNNNNNNNNNNNNNNNNNNNNNNNNNNNNNNNNNNNNNNNNNNNNNNNNNNNNNNNNNNNNNNNNNNNNNNNNNNNNNNNNNNNNNNNNNNNNNNNNNNNNNNNNNNNNNNNNNNNNNNNNNNNNNNNNNNNNNNNNNNNNNNNNNNNNNNNNNNNNNNNNNNNNNNNNNNNNNNNNNNNNNNNNNNNNNNNNNNNNNNNNNNNNNNNNNNNNNNNNNNNNNNNNNNNNNNNNNNNNNNNNNNNNNNNNNNNNNNNNNNNNNNNNNNNNNNNNNNNNNNNNNNNNNNNNNNNNNNNNNNNNNNNNNNNNNNNNNNNNNNNNNNNNNNNNNNNNNNNNNNNNNNNNNNNNNNNNNNNNNNNNNNNNNNNNNNNNNNNNNNNNNNNNNNNNNNNNNNNNNNNNNNNNNNNNNNNNNNNNNNNNNNNNNNNNNNNNNNNNNNNNNNNNNNNNNNNNNNNNNNNNNNNNNNNNNNNNNNNNNNNNNNNNNNNNNNNNNNNNNNNNNNNNNNNNNNNNNNNNNNNNNNNNNNNNNNNNNNNNNNNNNNNNNNNNNNNNNNNNNNNNNNNNNNNNNNNNNNNNNNNNNNNNNNNNNNNNNNNNNNNNNNNNNNNNNNNNNNNNNNNNNNNNNNNNNNNNNNNNNNNNNNNNNNNNNNNNNNNNNNNNNNNNNNNNNNNNNNNNNNNNNNNNNNNNNNNNNNNNNNNNNNNNNNNNNNNNNNNNNNNNNNNNNNNNNNNNNNNNNNNNNNNNNNNNNNNNNNNNNNNNNNNNNNNNNNNNNNNNNNNNNNNNNNNNNNNNNNNNNNNNNNNNNNNNNNNNNNNNNNNNNNNNNNNNNNNNNNNNNNNNNNNNNNNNNNNNNNNNNNNNNNNNNNNNNNNNNNNNNNNNNNNNNNNNNNNNNNNNNNNNNNNNNNNNNNNNNNNNNNNNNNNNNNNNNNNNNNNNNNNNNNNNNNNNNNNNNNNNNNNNNNNNNNNNNNNNNNNNNNNNNNNNNNNNNNNNNNNNNNNNNNNNNNNNNNNNNNNNNNNNNNNNNNNNNNNNNNNNNNNNNNNNNNNNNNNNNNNNNNNNNNNNNNNNNNNNNNNNNNNNNNNNNNNNNNNNNNNNNNNNNNNNNNNNNNNNNNNNNNNNNNNNNNNNNNNNNNNNNNNNNNNNNNNNNNNNNNNNNNNNNNNNNNNNNNNNNNNNNNNNNNNNNNNNNNNNNNNNNNNNNNNNNNNNNNNNNNNNNNNNNNNNNNNNNNNNNNNNNNNNNNNNNNNNNNNNNNNNNNNNNNNNNNNNNNNNNNNNNNNNNNNNNNNNNNNNNNNNNNNNNNNNNNNNNNNNNNNNNNNNNNNNNNNNNNNNNNNNNNNNNNNNNNNNNNNNNNNNNNNNNNNNNNNNNNNNNNNNNNNNNNNNNNNNNNNNNNNNNNNNNNNNNNNNNNNNNNNNNNNNNNNNNNNNNNNNNNNNNNNNNNNNNNNNNNNNNNNNNNNNNNNNNNNNNNNNNNNNNNNNNNNNNNNNNNNNNNNNNNNNNNNNNNNNNNNNNNNNNNNNNNNNNNNNNNNNNNNNNNNNNNNNNNNNNNNNNNNNNNNNNNNNNNNNNNNNNNNNNNNNNNNNNNNNNNNNNNNNNNNNNNNNNNNNNNNNNNNNNNNNNNNNNNNNNNNNNNNNNNNNNNNNNNNNNNNNNNNNNNNNNNNNNNNNNNNNNNNNNNNNNNNNNNNNNNNNNNNNNNNNNNNNNNNNNNNNNNNNNNNNNNNNNNNNNNNNNNNNNNNNNNNNNNNNNNNNNNNNNNNNNNNNNNNNNNNNNNNNNNNNNNNNNNNNNNNNNNNNNNNNNNNNNNNNNNNNNNNNNNNNNNNNNNNNNNNNNNNNNNNNNNNNNNNNNNNNNNNNNNNNNNNNNNNNNNNNNNNNNNNNNNNNNNNNNNNNNNNNNNNNNNNNNNNNNNNNNNNNNNNNNNNNNNNNNNNNNNNNNNNNNNNNNNNNNNNNNNNNNNNNNNNNNNNNNNNNNNNNNNNNNNNNNNNNNNNNNNNNNNNNNNNNNNNNNNNNNNNNNNNNNNNNNNNNNNNNNNNNNNNNNNNNNNNNNNNNNNNNNNNNNNNNNNNNNNNNNNNNNNNNNNNNNNNNNNNNNNNNNNNNNNNNNNNNNNNNNNNNNNNNNNNNNNNNNNNNNNNNNNNNNNNNNNNNNNNNNNNNNNNNNNNNNNNNNNNNNNNNNNNNNNNNNNNNNNNNNNNNNNNNNNNNNNNNNNNNNNNNNNNNNNNNNNNNNNNNNNNNNNNNNNNNNNNNNNNNNNNNNNNNNNNNNNNNNNNNNNNNNNNNNNNNNNNNNNNNNNNNNNNNNNNNNNNNNNNNNNNNNNNNNNNNNNNNNNNNNNNNNNNNNNNNNNNNNNNNNNNNNNNNNNNNNNNNNNNNNNNNNNNNNNNNNNNNNNNNNNNNNNNNNNNNNNNNNNNNNNNNNNNNNNNNNNNNNNNNNNNNNNNNNNNNNNNNNNNNNNNNNNNNNNNNNNNNNNNNNNNNNNNNNNNNNNNNNNNNNNNNNNNNNNNNNNNNNNNNNNNNNNNNNNNNNNNNNNNNNNNNNNNNNNNNNNNNNNNNNNNNNNNNNNNNNNNNNNNNNNNNNNNNNNNNNNNNNNNNAACAAAAUCAUCUAUUUAUACAACACAAUGAAAACUAAAGUGCUGAAAAAUCUGCUACAUUUGAGCAUAAUAACUAAGUGCAGGAAAAUAACAUGAAGAAGUGGUCGCAGUCCUAAAAAAAUAGCAACAAAAAAACUGAUUUAGCUUCAUGAGUCAUUCCAGUCAAUAUUCUCCUCCUUGACACUGGAGCUGCAUACACCAAACGUUUAACUCAAGAAUUCAUAUCUAACCUUUGGAAGUGCUUUUGUUAAGAUGUCAGCACUUUUAUUUUCUAUUUUGCAGUAGAUCAACUGCACUUCUCCUUCUCUUUGUACCUCUCUUAGAAAAUAAAGUUUUAUCUUGAAGUGUUUUGUUUUGCCAUGGAACAUUGGAUUAUUAGCAAUUGAAAUUGCAGCUUGGUUGUCCACAAAUAUUUGUGUGCCUUCUUGUUGUUCCAUAUGCAAAUCUGUCAUAAGUUUCCUGAUCCAAAGAGCUUGAUUCACAUCAGCAGUAGCAGCAGCUACAUCUUCUGCUUCUGCUAUAGAAUGAGCUAUAACUUCUUGCUUCUUAGAAUACCAUGAAAAAAUCCCAGAACCAAAGCUAAAACAGUAACCUGAGGUGCUUCUCAUGUCAUCAACACAUCUAGCCCAAUCACUAUUAGAAUAUCCAUGAAGAUUGAAGUUUUUAACUUGAUUAAACCUUAUUCCAUAAUCAAUUGUGCCCUUAACAUAUCUAAGAAUUCUUUUUGCUGCCUGAAAAUGAAUUUUACUGGCACAGUGCAUAUACCUUGAUAGCAAACUCACUGCAUGCAUGAUAUCUGGCCUGGUUGCAGUUAAAUACAUUAGGCAGCCUAUUAGGCUCCUGUACAGCAUUUCAUCCACCUUUUCAGCUCCAUCUUCUUUGCAAAACUUCUCCUUUUGAUUCAUUAGAGUUGCAGUUGGCUUGCACUCUUCCAUGUUGAAUUUCUUGAGAACUUUGCAUAUUUUUGCUGGGAUAGAAAUAUUUCAUUUUCCUUUUGAUGUACCUGCAUACCAAGGAAAAAUGUCAUCCUCCCAAGGUCUGUCAUUUCAAAGACAUCUUUCAUUUCUUCUUUAAACCUGUCAAUCAACUCCUUGCUACUUCCUGUAACGAGUAGAUCAUCAACAUACAGAGAUACCACAAGUACUUCGUUAUCAGCCUUCUUGAUAUAUAAAAUAGAUUCACUCAGACUUUUUUCGAAGCCUAAGUUUGUUAAGUGUGUGUCAAUUCUGCUAUACCAGGACCUUGAUGCCUAUUUUAAAUCGUACAGGGCUUUCUUCAGUCAAUAGACCUUCUCAUCUUGUCCUGGAAAAACAAACCCUUCAGGUUGCUCCACAAAAAUCUCUUCCUCCAAGUAUCCAUUCAAAAAGGUUGAUUUGACAUCCAUUUGGUGUAUAACCCAACCUUGCUGUGCAACAAGAGCUAGCGACAUCCUUAUGGUAUCCAACCUGGCAACAUGGGCAAAAGUUUCAGAAAAAAUCUACCCCAAACAUCUGGGCAUAUCCCUUGACAACAAGUCUUGCCUUGUGCUUGUUUACAGAACCAUCAGGAUUGAGCUUGGUCAUGUAAACCCACUUGACUCCUAUAGCUUUCUUGUGUUCAGGUCUGUCUACCAAUUCCCAUGUCUGAUUCUUUUCAAUUAUUUUUAGCUCGUCCUUCAUUGCAGUUAUCCACUUCUGAUCAUUUGCAGCUUCUUCAUACCCUGCAGGCUCCAUUACAGCAAUAUUACACAUCUGAUAGAUGUCAGAGAGUGAUCUGGUUCCUCUAACAUUUUCAUCGUCCGUAUCAUCAUUCUCUUCGACCUCAAGCUUCUUGUCAUUUUCCCAACUCCAAUUAUCUAACUCAAAGAAUUGAACAUCCCUGCUGACGAUUACUUUGUUUCUUUGCGGUAAGUAAAUCUUGUAGGCUUUUGAGGUUGAGCUAUAGCCUACAAAAAUCCCAAGUUCUGCUUUUUUGUCUAAUUUGUCUCUCUUCACUUGAGGGAUGUAAGAGAAACAUAGACAACCAAAUAUCUUCAGAUUAAACAGCUUUGGUUUGUAGCCAUACCAUGCUUCAAAUGGAGUCUUUUUCUGUAAAGCUUUUGUUGGCAAUCUGUUCAAUAAAAAAACUGCAGUGUUUACGGCCUCAGCCCAAAAUUUCUUCGGCGGCCCUUUAUCAUGAAGCAAGCAUCUUGCCAUCUCCAUUAUUGUCCGGUUUUUUCUCUCCACAACACCAUUUUACUGAGGAGUGUAAGGUGUUGUCAGCUGAUGUUCAAUGCCUGCAUCUUCACAAAACUUGUUAAAUUUUUCAGAGGUAUAUUCCAUUCCAUUAUCAGACCUGAUCACCUGCAUCUUGCAUCUGCUUUGAGUUUCAACCCAAGCUUUAAACUUCACAAAGAUGUCAGCAACCUUAUAUUUAAGCUUCAUAAAAUAAAACUAGCACAUUCUUGAGUAAUCAUCAAUGAAAACAAUAUAAUACUUACUGUUAUUCAAAGAUGGUGUUUUCAUUGGCCCUCCCACAUCUGUGUGUAUUAAUUGCAACCUCUGUAUAGCCCUCCAGGUCUUAUUUUGUUGAAAUGGAAUCCUGGUUUGCUUUCCAUACUGACAGGCAGCACAUUUAGGAGACUCCUCCUCUAAUUCAGGCAAGCCUUUGACUAGAUUGUUGUUCUUCAUGUAGAGUAGAGUUAUAUGAUAGAAAUGCCCUAACCUCUUGUGCCAAAGCACUGUAAUGUUAUCUUCUCUAUGUACAGAAGCAUGCUCUUCUUUCAUUAAAUCCAAGGCAAAGCUUUUGCCUUUCAUUUGAACUUUGAAUACUUCUUUGUCUUUUGCAUCUUUGAUCACACAGUUCUUGUCUUCAAACAGCACCUUAUAGCCUUUUUCUAACAACUGAGUAACACUCAAAAGAUUUUGAUUAAUUUCAGGAACAUAUAAAACAUCAUAAAUCAAUUUCAGACCUGUAUGGCCUUCAAUCGCUACUGUUCCUUUACUUUUUACUGCAAUGUGUGCCCCAUUUCCAAUUCUGACUUUGGAAAUAGUAGUCUCAUCAAGCUCUUUGAAGAGCUCUCGAUCAUAAGUCAUGUGGUUUGUACAGCCACUAUCUAUAAGCCAACUCUCUGUGGAGCUGUUGGUGGCAAAGCAUGAUACCACAAACAGUUGUUCCUCUUGGAGUUGAUCCUUAAUAACAUUGGCUUCUCUUUGUUGUUGUUGAGUCUUGCAUAUCCUUUCCACGUGCCCUAACUGACCACACUUGUGACACUUUGCAUCUGGCCUCCACCAACACUUAUUUUGUGGAUGAUUGGUUUUUUUGCAGUAAGGGCAAGGUGAAAAGACAUGAGUGUUGCUGCUUUGGCUAUUUUUGUUACUGCUUGCAAAACCUCCAAGCUUGUUGUCUUUGUUCUGUUUUUUCUUAUUUUUGCCACCUUUAUUGUUUUGUGAUUUGGCUUGAAAAGCACCCUCCACAUAUCCUUCUUGUCUCAUAAGCCUCAUUUGUUCCAGUGCCUGCAGUGCAUUCAACAAUUCUGCCAAGGUAAUACUUGACAGAUCUCUUGAGUUUUCCAAAAAUGAAAUUGUAGCCUCAAACUUUUAGGAACUGUGACUAGGAUUUUUUGGACAACUCUAGAAUCAGAAAAAUCAAUGCCAAGGAGUCUUACCUUGUUGACAAUCUUAAAAAGUCUGUCAUAAUAUUCUUGAAUUGUUUCUGAUUCUUUCAUCUUUUGCAUCUCAAAUUCUCGAAUCAAAUUCAGCACUUGCAUCCCUUUGACCCUUUCAUUUCCUUUGUAUUCUUGCUUCAAAAAAUCCCAAAUUUCCUUGGUUGUUUUGAGCGUCAUUAUUCUGAUUUGUAGGCUAUAAAGAUAUCGAGAGAAGGCUGAUUUGCAGACUGCUAAAUUAUAUAUUUAUUGAGCAACAAAAUCAUCAUUUAUACAACAUAAUGAAAAUUAAAGUGCAGAAAAAUCUGCUACAUUUGAGCAUCAUAACUAAGUGUAGAAAAAUAGCAUGAAGAAGUGGUUAUAGUCUUAAAAAAUAGCAACAGAAAAAAAAAACUGAUUUAACUUCAUGAGUCAUUCCAGUCAACACCUUAGCAGUCCUCGUGCACACGAGCAACUGACUAUUACGAAUCUCCUCGAUCAUUGCUUUGAUCAUGAGGAGGCUACAAUCUCGCGGUAGCGUUUUAAUCACCCAAACAAAAACCCUAAAAGUUUUGAAUCAAAUUAACCUUAAUACAACAUACAUCACGCAUUACACUUCAAAAUUAACAAGAUUAAAAACGACUCAAUAAAACACCUUUUUUUUUUAUAAUAUUGACCAUGAUGAGUGCGCCUGCAAGUUAUUUGAGAAAUUGACUGCUAUGAGCACAUACGAGGCAAAAAGAAUCUUAUAUCAUGCACAUGUAGGCAGCAAGCAUUGAAAAUACAGAAACUAGCAGCAAUGGCUUGAGCGGAAACCCAUAAAAGAGAAUUGUCAUAAAUGCUAAGCAUAAGAAAAAGGCAGCGAAAUUGAGGGUGAUUAGUAAUUGGAAUAAAUACAGAUGUCUAAUCACAAUCCGACAGAAGGGAUUUAGACUUGAAAUCUGUAAGAAAAAUAAACACACAGUGAGAUAACAAUUCAAUACAGUAGCUAAUAUAAAACAGCAACCGAAAAUCACAAAUUCACAAAUGGAAAAACAGAAGAGAAAUGAAACCGAAACAGAAAAUUAAACCCGAGGCCUGCACUGGACAGUUUUCUUAAAACAGAUUUAUCACAUACUGUAUUGCUUUAGGUUUGCUGGUAACUGUUUCCCAUGAUACAACGGGUACGAAUUAUCCGUCAAGCACAAACUGAUAAUUCCGGCGAACCACAACAGCGUACAAGCUCGAUCAGAACAGAACAAUGAAAGGAAGAAAGAAAUUUUGGAGUGCUCUUUGUGCUGGUUUCAAUGUGUGUAAAAACAGAAGAGGAGGUGCCUUUUUAUACUCAUGUGAGGAUGUAACAGCAGCAUUGUAUUGAAUUUCUGAAUUCAAUAUAUGCCAUUAAAUAGUUAUAACAACCAAUUCAAUUCAAUCAAUUGAUUUAAAAAUUGAAUUCCAAAAAACGUGAAUAGUAUAACAGCUAAAAUAAUGGUUGUGAAGCUGUUACAAAUCCUUUGAAUUCAAAACGUGAAACUAUUACAACAAAAAAUUUAAAAGGAAAUUAAAAACAUGCCAUGCAACCUCGGAUGAUUUUGGGCUGACAUUCGCAUACACGUGGGCGCACACGAGUUCAACCAAAUCGGUCUUGGAUUUGCACCCCCUGCGCACGCGCAUGUGGAGAGAGUCUCUAUCCUUAUAAUUCUUAUUCAUGCACGGUUAAGUGUUUAUAAAUAAACACUAAUCCCUUGGCUUCUUUUUCCCAUGUGGGAUAAGCCUCAUUUUCCUUUCAAAUUUCCAACUUCAAGGGUGAACUUUGGGAGACAAUUUCUCAUUCACCCAAACACCAUUUUGAGAAAAUAAAAUUACACUUUUGAAGUAUUAACGGAAUAGAAUCCGAACCUCACAAGAUUUCUCACUUUCACUAAGUGGGACCCACUCAAAAUGUGCCCUCAAAAUAGCAUAUAGAUAUGCUAUUUUUUCAACAAAAUUUGCUGGAAACCUUUUUAUGAUCUACAGCCCAAGAUCUUCAAUGCUACGUGGAAUAUUAUGGUUGAUAACAAUGCCAACAGUAACAGUGGAUGAAAGACAUAGCCUUUAGACUUAUUUUUGGUUUUCAUAUUGAGCCAGGUGUUCAGCAAAUGCGAUGAGAGGUGCCCUCAUUUAAAUCCCUUCCUCAUUUGAUCAUAUUUAGCUCCAAAAGCACGCCAUACAUGUUGAGUUGCCUUAAUUUUCAGUUCUGUCUUCCCAGCUUGCGAUAAGUCUUCUAAUACAUUCAACGUUGUACACUCACCACCAUCCAUUAAGUUAACCUUCGCAGUGGAGUUAUGAGGUGUAUCAUCCAGGAAAGAUUUUGGAGUCUGCAACAUGCAUAAAAAGAGGGCAGAGGCUGGGAAAUAAGAAUUAAUCAAAGUACUUCUAUGGAUAGUGUUAAAAUGAACAUAAGAAAUAGAGGCAAGGAUCAAAAUGAAUAAUAACCUCUUCAAGCAGUAUACUUGAGGGAUUGAGAUCUCUGUAAAUAUUUUGCUUCUCAGAACUUUGCAUGGCAACCAGGGUUUUAGCAACUCCAGUGGUAAUUUCAAGUCUUUUAUCCCAAUAUCCUUCUUUGAUGGAAAAUGAUUCUGCACAACUAGGCAAUUCAAUGAUUACUAUAAAAAUAUCCAUAGAUAUGCAAUCUUUAUUUUCUUUUGUUCCUAGACUUCCUUCAAUUCUUCUGAAAACAUGAUUUUCCAACCUCUCCUUCUUCCUGGGCCAUUUAUCCUUCCAGUAGUAUCCCAGGGGAUUAACUCGGUAUGGAUAUGAUAGUUUCUCUUCAAAGCCCACCUGCCCGCAUAAGCACUGAAAAAUAGGCAACACAUAAUUGAUAACGGUAAAAGGGAUCAUAAAAUUUGCCCAGCAUGGCAAAGCAUCUUUUAUUCAAUCUUUCCCCAAAACUUAUAAUUUACCUCUUGUGAACCCAAAAAUGAAAAAAAAUAAAUAAAUACCAGAAUCAAUAUUGAUAAUAUUGCUCCCACUCCUAUUGUUCUUGAUAUAAAUUUGCUAUAAAUUAAAUGUCCCCACUAUCCUGUGGUAAAAGUUGUUGGAAAAAAUUAAACUGGUGUGAUUUGCUUCUAUUUGAGUGAAAUAUCAAGUGAGGUCAACAAAAGUAUUCAUAUAUUAAUAUGCCAAUAUGCUCUAUAAAUUUCAAUUAUACACUAUGUCAAACAAUCAUGCAUCAAUGAACUGAAACACUAAUAAUUGUAGGGAUAAUGCUUGAUACAUGCAUCUAUGCCAUUAUUGAACACCAAUGACCAACUAUAGAGCAAUGCCCUCCAUCUCUAUGUUGUUUCUCUUAGCCAGUUCCAGUAGCAACAGUUAGUGAUUGCCUUUCAGUUUGGCUAGUUGGGAAUUGAAUUUGAAUCACUAACCUGAUACGUGCAUCUCCAUCAUUAUUGAAAUUAGUGACCAAUUAAAAAUUAAAAACUGACAUAACAACCAAGACCCAACCCAUGUUUAAAAAAGGUUAAUUAAUAUAGAUAGAAAUUAAAUAAAAUCGAAUAAAGUAAGAUUACUGUGUCCAAGAAACCAUACCUUUAGAUCAUCGUUAAUAACACUCUUCAGUUGUCUGUGGUUGAGAAGGCUUUCUUCAAAAUGAUGAAGCAAGAAUUUUGAAGCUUCAAUGAGAAUAUUCGAAUUUGCAAUUUUAUGCCAAAGAAUCGACUCCAAGUUGCCCUUUACCGGUGCUCGCAAGCCUGACCCCAGAGGGUACUCGUUCUCUUCUAGCAUACCAAUCUCGCAAUCUUUAUCAAAUUCUGUCAUUUUUUUUUUCUUUCUUGCGAUGCCUUGUGUUGGUGAAGGCACUACUCAAUAACACAAAUCAGAGAGAAAAGCAACAUCCAUAAAUCUUCUUAGUCGAUUGCAGAGGGUAAUUGUUGAAGAGUGAGCUUUAAAAUUGGAUUCCAGAAAAAGUGUCGUCUUGUCGGUUUGUUGAAUAAGUGCCGAUUGCUUUGUUAGUUCUUGGCUGACCAGCAUGUCGUUGGAAUAAAGGAUAUUGCAGAUGACAAAUCAGCUGAGCUUCUUAAGUAAAGCGUGUGUGUAUCACGUGCACAUACUUAAACAACUUAGCAUGAAACGACGGAUGAGAUGAGCAUUUUGAUAUCACUUAUUAUCACUUAUUCAUGGCACAAGAUUUUCAUGUGUCUAAGGCUGUUAUAGGCUAUUAAUUAGAGUAGGAAAUUUCUGGGUUCAGUUGUAAUAGAUUCAGGUCACAGCUGGUGUGAGAGAAUCUGUCCAGAGUCCUCUAAAGUGUCAUAUAAAUAGCUUGUAUCUUCUUCAUAAGACUUGUAUCUUGAAAUCAGUGAUUGAAUGAAAAUCUGCUGCUCUGUUCUUCAGUGGAUGUAGGCUGCUCCAGCUGAACCAUUUAAACCUUUAGUCCUUUGAUUGAUUGUUUCUGUGUUUGUAUUCUCGUGUGUGUUGUUUUGCUAGUUUCUUUAAUUGAGUUUUAGAGAAUUUAGAUUGAUCUUGGAGUUUCUUGAUCGGUGUCAAAGCUGAUCUUAGAUCAACAAAUUGGUAUCAGAGCUUCAUCUCUGAUUCUUAAUUCAAGAAAUGACAAUAUCCAAGUUUGAGGUGGAGAAAUUCACUGGCGAAAAUGAUUUCCAUCUUUGGAGGUUCAAGAUGAAAGCACUGUUGGUUCAUCAAGGCUUAGAGGAGACAUUGGGGGAGCCAAGAACUGGCAAGAAACCAAGUAAGCUCACUGAUGAAGAAUUACAUAAUGCUCUAGAUAAGGCUUAUAGCACCUUAAUCUUGAGCCUUGGAGGUGGAGUGCUUAGGGAGGUGGGAGAUCAAACAAGUGUUGCAGGCCUCUAGAAGAAGUUAGAAGACUUAUACACCAAAAAGUCCCUAGCUAAAAGACUUUUUACAAAGAAGAGAUUGUAUACUCUAUAGAUGGAGGAAUGCAGCUCGUUAGCAAAUCACAUUGAUAAUUUUAAUAGGAUUAUUCUUAAUCUUGAAGACAUCAAUGUGAAGUUGGAAGAUGAGGACAAAGCAAUCAUCUUGUUAUCCUUUCUACUACCAUCCUACGAGCAUUUUGUUGACACAUUGUUAUAUGGGAGACAAUCUAUAAUUAUUGUAGAUAUAAAAGACUCACUUAGUUCUAAAGAAGUCACAAAGAAGGCAGAAACAAAUGAUGGAGAAAGUUUGAUGGCAAGGGAAAGGCCUGAGAAGAAAGAGAACAACAAAAAGAAGAAAAUGGGAAAAUCUAAGUCCAAGGAUAAGGUCUUGAAAUGCUUCCACUAUCAUAAAGAAGGGCAUUUCAAGAGGGACUGUCUAGAUAAAAAGAACAAGAGCAAAUAAGGGCAUGGAAAGAAUGGAUAUACUACUGUUGCAUCCGAGGAUGAUGGUUAUGACUCAGCUGGUGUCCUUUUGGCUUCUGAAACUCAAACAAAUAGUAAGUAUAUUUUUUAUUUUGGAUGUUCAUAUCAGAUGUGCCUUGACCAAAAUCUUUUUACUACUUAUAAUCAUUUUAAUAGAUAAGAGGUAAUGAUGGAGAAUAACUCAAUAUGUAAGGUAGUUGGAUUAGGAACCAUUAGAUUUAAGAUGUUUGAUAGGAUGAUUAGAAAGCUAAGAGAGUAAGGCAUGUUCCUGCUUUUAAGAAGAAUCUAAUCUCUCUAGGCACUUUAGAUCAAGUUGGCUGCUCCAUUAAGGUAGAAUUUGGUGUAAUGAAGGUAAUCAGAGGGUCCAUUGUGAUAAUGAAGAAGAAUAAGCACAAUGGUUUAUAUGUGCUUCAAGGCAUUGUUGUAACUGGAAAUGUCAGUGUUUCAUCAAGUCUGGGUUUGGAUAAGACUCUUAUGUGGCAUUUAAGAUUGGGACAUAUAAGUGAGAAGGGGUUGAGAGUUUUAGAAAAAUAGGGAGUCUUUGGGGAUGAUAAGUUAGGGUCUUUUGAGUUCUGUGAGGUUUGUGUCCUAGGUAAAUCCUCUAGAACUAGUUUUAAAACUACAGUGCAUAACACAAAAUGGAUCUUAGAUUACAUCCAUUCUAAUCUGUGGGGACCAGCACAUACAGUUUCUCUAGGUGGAGCCAAAUAUUUCCUUUCCUUUAUAGAUGACUAUUCCAGAAUGGUUUGAGUGUAUGUCUUAAAGAGAAAUGAUGAGGUCUUUGAGAAGUUUAAGCAAUGGAAAGCAUUGGUUGAGUUAAGAGGCUAAGAAUUGACAAUGGGUUAGAGUUUUGUAACCAGCAGUUUGAGGUUUUCUGUAACCAGAAUAGUAUAGCAAGACAUAAAAUUGUUGCUAACACUCCACAACAAAAUGGGUUAGCAGAAAGAAUGAAUAGAACCUUGAUGGAGAAAAUUAGGUGUUUGCUGAUACACUCAAAGUUGCCUAAGGCGUUAUGGGCUGAAACUUUAAUGACAGCUUGUUACCUAGUAAAUAGGAGUCCAUCCAGUGCCUUAAGCUUAAAAACACCAAUAGAAAUGUGGUCAGUGAGGCGGCAAAUUAUCUAAGUUUGAAGAUUUUUUGCUGCCCUGCUUAUGCACAUAUAAAGCAAGGAAAACUGGAGCCCAGAGCAUUGAAAUGUAUUUUCUUGGGUUAUCCAAAAGGUGUGAAAGGCUAUAAGCUCUGGUGUACUGAUUUAAAACCACCAAGGUGUAUCAUUAGUAGAGAUGUUUUUAAUGAAUAAAAAAUAUUGAGUAAAAGACAUGUAACAGAACCUGGAGAUACAGAUGAGGGUUCAAACUCACAAUGGCAACAUCUGAAGGUGGAUUUUCUAGGGAAGUUUACUCAGGACUACCAUGGUACAUUAACAGAUGUAGAUAUGGGUGAGACUGAGGAUGUCAAUGAUAUUUCUGGUGGUCAAACUGAAAUCCAGGACUACCAACUUGUCAGAGAUGGGUAAAGAAGAGAUAUUAAAGCACCAAAGAGAUUUGCAUAUACAUAUUUAAUCGCAUAUGCUCUAACAGUAGCUCAUGAGCUGGAGAAAUAUGAACCAAGAACUUACAAGGAAGCUGUUUCAGGAAAAGAUGCAGACAUGUGGAUAAGAGUCAUAAAUGAAGAAAUAGAAUCAUUAUACAAUAAUAACACUUAGAAACUUAUUAAAAAACUAGAAAAAAAUGAAGAUGAUAGGAUGUAAAUAGGUCUACAAAGUCAAAUCAGGCAUACCAAGAGUUGAACCCGAAAGGUUUAAGGCCAGGCUGGUUGCCAAGGGCUACACACAGAAGGAGGGUAUUGAUUUUACUGAAGUUUUUUCCCCUAUGGUUAGACAUGCCUCAAUUAGAUUAAUUCUAUCACUUGUAGCUGCUAACAACAUACAUCUUGAAUAGAUGGAUGUUAAAACAACAUUUUUCAUGGAGAGUUACUAAAAGAAAUAAUAAUGACUCAACCUGGAGGUUUUGUUGAUUAGGAGAAAGUUGAGUAUGUAUGCCUUCUGAAGAAAUCCUUAUAUGGUCUCAAAACAGUCACCUAGGCAAUGGUAUCUUAAGUUUAAUAACUUUAUGAUGAAGCUUUGUUUUCAAAGGUGCAAUUUGGAUUGCUGUGUGUAUUAUAGAAAGAUAUCUGUAGAGAAGGUUUACUUGGUUUUAUAUGUAGAUGAUAUGCUUAUUGCCAGCAAGAGCAUGAAACAAAUAGAUCUUUUGAAGCAGCAACUUAGAGGGGAAUUUGAGAUAAAGGAUUUAGGGCCAGCCAAGAAAAUACUAGGAAUGCAGCUUAUCAGGGAUAGAAAGUAUGGUAGCUUGUUUCUUACACAGGAGGAUUACAUCAACAAAGUGCUUGAUAAGUUUGAAAUGAGAACUGCAAGACCAGUUCAAACUCCUUUACUAGCUCACUUCAGACUAUCAGAACAGCAGUGUCCUAUAACUGAAGCUGAUAAGUCUGAGAUGAUGAGAAUUCCUUAUGCAAGUGUUGUAGGAUGUUUAAUGUAUGCUCUGAUCCUUACCAAACCUGAUAUAGCAUAUGUUGUAAGUGUAAUAAGCAGAUAUAUGGCAAACCCUCGGAAUGAGCAUUGGAAGGCUGUAAAUGGAUACUUAGGUAUCUAAGGGAAACAUCUGGAUAUGGACUAAUGUAUGGAGGACAGAGGACAGAGGUAGAGAUGGCAAAACCUCGGGCCGGAUCCGGGUAUUGCAAUGACCAAACCCUACCUGGAUGCAACCGGUCUGGGUCCGAGUCCGAGCCGGGUUUUAAUCCGGGUACCCGAAUUUAUAUUUUUUAAUAUUAUAUGUGUAUAUACUUUUUAUUUUUUGGUAAUCUUAUAAGUUUUAAAUUUAUUUUAAUAAAAUUUGACAUGAAAAUAUAAACUUUAAGUGUUUAAAACUUUAUAUAUGUAUAAUAAAUGAGUCAAAUAAAUAUAAAUAUUUAAAAUAAUAUAUAUUUUAUAAUAUUUUUUUAAUAAAAUCCGGGUUCCGAGUUUAUCAAGUGAUGCCCAAGACUGACCCGGCUUCAUACCCGGGCCGGGUAAUACCCGGCCCACAAUGUCCGGGUCCGGACCGAGCGGGUAUUUUUGCCACCUCUAGGCAGAGGGCAGAUGACAGUUUGAUCGUAGGUUAUGUGGAUGCAGACUAUGCAAGGGACUUGGAUAAGAGAAGAUCCAUUACAGGGUACAUAUUCACAUUUGACAACUGCACUAUAAACUGGAAAGCACAAUUACAAAGUGUAGUUGGUCUGUCAACUACUGAAGACGAGUAUACAACUGCUGCUGAGGCAAUCAAAGAAGUAAUAUGGUUAAAAGGCAUGUUGAAGGAGCUUGGGGUAGAUAAGAACUUAGUGGUGAUUCAUUGUGACAGCCAAAGUGUUAUAUGUUUAAGCAAGAAUCAAACACACCAUGAAAAGACUAAACACAUUGACAUUAAACUUCAUUUUAUCAGGUUGGAAGUAUCAAAAGCAACUGUAAAGCUUCAGAAAAUUCAUACAGAUAAUAAUGUUGCAAAUAUGUUAACUAAGGCUAUACCAGGAGCUAAGUUCAUGUUUUGUUUGAACUUAGUUGAUAUCUGUAGCAGAUGAAUUCCAAAUGGAUGAAGAGAAGAGUAGCAAGUUCAGGAGGUUUUCAAGCUCAAGGUGGAGAAUGUUGAAGUGUGAGCUUUAAAAUAGGAUACUAGAAAAAGUGUCGUCUUGUCAGUUUGUAGGUCCAUGGCCUCGGCCCCACUUGAUAAUGGUGAAUUAUGCUACACGUCCUUGUAACAGAGCAACACAAAGUUCAAACUUUAGUUAAUCGCCUAACUUUUUGGCAUGGAGAUUGCCGCCGGGGUUUCUCUCUGUCACAAUAACGUGCACUACUUAUUUUCUUACUGUUUUUAUAAUCUUUAGUAACUUUCUUGAUAAAAUUAUAUUAAAAUCAAAUAAACUCAUUCAAUCUCAAACUUUAAAAAAGAAAAUAGUCAAAUACAAAUAUAUAACACAUUAACAAUGCUGCUGUACGGCCAAGGCGGAUGUACGGUACAGCAGACAUCAUAUAAAAAGAAAGAAAAGUAAAAAAAAUUUAAGUAGUACAUAUAAGAAAUAUAUAUUUCGAUGUAAAUAAAAAUUAAUAAAAAAAUAUUUUUCUUUCAUUAUUUUUAAAACAUGUUUCUUAUAAUAAAUAUAUACUUUAUAUUCUUAAGAUAAAUUAUCUUCUUUCUUUUCCUUUAAAUUUUUAUGCCAGAGAUUUUUGAAUAUUGUGAAAAUAAUAGGUACAGCAGAUAUAUAUAUAUAUAUAUAUAUAUAUAUUCUAAGCUUAAUAGAAACAAAGCCGAAACAAAGUAAAAUAUAAUAAUGAACUCCUAAUUACAUGGAAAGACUCGAACCCUCUACCUUAAGGUUAAAAGAUGAAAAAUAAAAAUAAUAAUGAAAAUGACAGUUUAUAAAUAAUAGUUGAUAGUGUGUGAUAAAUACAAAUUUUAAACAAUUUUUUGACAAAAAUAAUAAAUAUGUUAUAAGUUAAUCAUCAUACAAUAUAUAAGAAAUUAACAAUUAACUACAACCCUCUAACCACAACAUGAACUAUUUUUCAUAUUGCAGUAAGGUUGUGGACCAUUACGGUCUAUUACAUGAACAAGUUAUGUCAUGCACCGCUUGGAAAAAAAAAAAAAAAGCCAAACGUGGCUGAUUUCAAAAGCAACAGCCAGUUGCCUGCUUCACCACUCCUCCACAUGCCAACUUCAUUCUUCGCUUGCCACAUGCAUAUUUGACCUGCAUGCUUCACUUGUGAGUCGAUGGCCAUGUAUAUAUAAUUGGAAACAAUUGAAAGCAACUCUCAUUUAUGCUUCCAUUUCCGAAGUGAAAUCAAAACCGAGAGAAGAAAAGAAGAAAAACCGAGAGAAAAGAGAAGGAAAAAGAAAAGAAAAGAAGAAAAGAAAUAGAAAGAAGCUGGGUGUGAGAAAUAAAGUGGAAUUAAGAGGAAAUAAUACGGAAAUUAGAACGGGAUGGUUAGAUUAAAUCCAGUUGAACCAGUGGGUAAUAGAUUUGUGAAACUUGAGCAAUUAUGUUACAGUUUGCAUGAUACGAUAAGUUAUUAUAUCAAUUCUUACAUUUAAUUUUCGAACCCUGUAUUUUAGGAGGAACUCGAGAAUCCAGGAACUUACAAUAGCCCCAACGAACCCCAGAGUGAAACAGGAUCUGUGAGUGGAUACUAUUAUUACUAUUAUGUAUUCCAUAAAGCAUUUAUGUUUGAUAUUAUGAUUUAAUAUCUUGUUAUGAUUAUAUGUACGCAUAUUAUAUGUUUGAUUGAGUCAUGAGAUGUGAUUGCCAAUCACCAUAUAUGUACCCGUCCCCGUAGAAUCUGCGCAUGCUUAUUGAGAGUUAGGUUACUCUAUCCGAGCGAUGUAGCUAAAUUCCACAGGAUAUUGAGAGGUUUUUCCCCCGCUCUACUCGUGCGAUGAUGAUCCUGACGAGCAUUGAGAGUUAUUUCCCCUAGGUACUAUUUGGUGCAGUUUGUGAUGUAUGUAUGUAUGAAUUCCAUGUUUGCUGAUGUGUGGUAUUCAAUGUGGAGUUAUGUUACAUGAUUAUGUAUAAGCGCUAGUACACAUACUUUAUUAUAAUGAUUACUGUUAAUAUUUUUAAUAUAAUAUUAUAUCCACUUACUGAGCCGCAAGCUCACUAUUUUCCUAUUUACCCACUUCCUCCCAGGAUUCCGUAGGAUUUCAUGCAGAUCAGUUCUAGUUAAUUGAGGUUGGGCCACGAGACGCAUUGCUGCAUGUCUAGCAUUUUGAGCACAUUUAUGUUGCUUAUGUUUUAUAUGUAAAUAUACAUGUAAUGUCAGUAUGUACAAUAAGACAUAAGUUAUGCAAGUUUUGAAUUCAUUUAUGAUUUCAAAAAGGCACAGAGGUGGUUAUGUGUUUAUAAGAAAGGUCAUAUUAUAUACAUAUUUUCAUGAAUUAAAUUUGUGCCACAAGUUUUUAGUUAUUAGUCCGCACGAUUCGCCUCAAAUCAGACAUGUAGGUCGGGGCGAGUCGUGUCAAGUUACAUAUGAGUAAAAUGAUAAAAAUGUCCUCACUUUAAUAUGUAACAUAUUCCUUUUACAAUAUUGCCAAUUUAAUAAGGACAGUGGCAGGGGCAAUCAACCUAUGCCCUCAAUUCUAAGAGCCAAAAAGUUCGAGGCUUCCAUUUUUUUUUUUCCAUCAAUUGUUUGGAAACAUGAUCCGCUUUUUUAUUUUCUUUUAUUGAUUUUUCUUGAUUUAUUGUUAUUUAUAUAUUUGUUAUAUUUUAUUUGAUUAGUAGUCUGUCUCCUUAAAUUAAUAGUGAUAAGGUUCUUAUAUGAUUUUUAUUUUCUUACGUUAAAAAAUGAUAAUUCUAUCAUAAAGUUCCUCUCACACAAAUAAGCCCUUAAAGUGAUAUAAUAUUAAAUAAUCUCUUGUCGCAACAUGGUAGUGUUAAUACAUGCUUCUUUUCGUAUUAUCUAAGUUAAGAAUAAGGCCUUAUAGUAUAUUUUCUUCAUACCGUUAUAGGAUAUGUGACAAUAAAGUAAAUAUGACACGUCACAGUGGUUUGUACAAUAUUUGUAUAUUUAGCAUUAUUCAAUAAAAGAAGAGAAAAAAAAAAGUUUUGAUCUAAGAAUGAUGAUGUUUUUAUUGAUGUCUCAUGUAUGUAUUACAAUAUGAAGGCUACCAAUAUUAUUUUCAAUUAGAAACUUGCUGGAAUUAUUUAAGAUCAAGUUCAUUAUAGCACAGUCCAAAUUUGUACAUACAUUCACGUAUAAUUGAGGGUAACGACUACAACUCCGUUAAUGGCCGAAUAAUUUAUGGUACUUGAUUCAACUAGUAAAUUUUCAUCAAUAAUAUAACAAUCGAUACCCAGAAGAUUUUUUUGUAGUAAUUUUACUUUUAAAAUAAAAAAAAUAAUGUAGCAGUAUUUUUGGGCGCUUCGCCUUAUUUUGGAGCUAAUAGAUACUUUUUUAAAAAGGAGUAAGUUAAAGUGUCUAAAGCACUAGACCCGUCCACUGCCCCUUUAGUUGUUCGUAAGUUGUGCACUGAAAGUAGAAUUUGUUGUCGAAGAGAGAAUUUCGUCGAACGAUCUAAAUCUAGCCAGUGAAUGUCGGAAAUUUCUAUGAAGUUACCAGUCUGCUUGAAUUUGAAAGCUCCCGCUCCCUAACGCAGAACAAAAACUCCGAGGAAUUUCCACGAAGAGCCCUAAACAGCUGUUUAUGACUGUAUGGAAAUUCUUUAUCACCACCCUCAUUAAAUUUAUUAGAAAAUGUGGUUAAAUAGUACAUUAAAUAGGUGAAAAAUAAAGACGGCUUCCCUAUCCUCAUUGGCCCCAUGACCAUCCUUAUACACAUAUCACAUGAGCAGGUUACAUAGUAUGAACAUAGAAAAAGAAAAUUUCUGCGAGGUUUCUUUCUUUACUUUUUCUUUUUUCAAAGAAAGCUUCUAUGAAGUCUUCCAAUAAUGGUGGUGGCCCCAUUACCUUCUUUAUUAAGACAUGUCACGUGAGCAGACAUGGGCAAAUCCAGAACUUUAUAUUUCUCUAGUUAAAUUAAAAAUUAUAUAUUUUGAAGUGAGAAUAAAAAUUUAUUAGUAAAAAGAAGUACAUCAAUUAAGGGGGUGUACAAAGAACAUUACCUCUAUAAAUACUUACUUUAAACAAAAAUAAUUAUAUAAAAAAAGGUAAAAAAAAAAAAGACAACUCAAAAAUAAAAGCACUAGUUUUCAAUUAUAAAAUCUGACAUUGCAAUCUAUAAUAACAUAUAAUUAUAUAAGGAUUAAUAAAUUAAUUAAGAAUUUCAAGCUAAAAUAAAUCAAUACAUGUAAUUACAAUCAAUUAAAAAUUAUAAGUAAAACAUUUAUGUUUGAAGUCAAGUACUUAAUUACCAAGUUUAAAUAAAUUAAACAAUUAAAAUGUAUUUAUCUUUUUAAAUUAUAAAAAUAUUACUAGUCAAAAGUUUCAAUAAUAAACUAAACUCAACCUAGCAAAAAAGUAUUUGGGCGUCGUCGUUUCUUCAUUAGGGACUCUGACUCUCUUUGAAGAACCAGAUGCUGAUGAUUCUUCUAUCAAAACAUCCUCAAAAUAUUCACAUUUUAUUUUCUAACAUGUCCUCCUAAUUAAUGUAACUAAUAACUAAAAUUUCAAAGUUUACGUAAAAAGUGUAUGAGAACAUAUAUUGUUUUGUAAGUAAUGGCAUAUUUUCUUUCAAUUAAAUUUUUUUAAAAUAAAUUAAAGCAAUAUUAAUAUUUUAGCCCCCUAAUGUUUUAAAUUUACUCAAUAAAUAUAUAAUUAAUUAUUUUAUAAAAUAAGUCACUAAUUCCAAAUUGGAACAAAAUACAAUUGAAUUAGAGACAUAUUUUAAAAUAAAAUAAAAACUCUAUUAUUGUAUAAAACUGAUGAAAAAAUAAGGAGUAUGUAUGAUUUUUUUGGACUAGAGGUUGGUCUAGUCCAGCUGUAUGUCUGCCACUGUGAGCAGGAUGUAUAGUAUGAACAUAAAAAAUUUUCUCCAAAGACACGAAUUUUGAUAUUAAAAAAAUUAGAAAAAGAUAAAUUUCUACAAAGUUUACUUCUUUUUCUUUUCUUUUUUUGUUUUUUUCAAAGAUGUCAUGAAGACUUCUUGUGACGAUGGUACCUGCCUACCUGUGCAAAGGGCCCCAAGGGCUAACGUGCUCGCGGAAUUGGACAUAAAGGGAAGUUACCACACAAAAUAUAGCUACCAGUCUGUUUAUUACACUAUAUUAUUGAUCGAAGAAAAGUAAUUUAAAAAAAAAUUCAGAUAUGUUUGCGAACUGAUUUUGAAGGUUAUUUAUAAGACUUUCUAUUUCCAAUAUUAAAGAAAAAAAAAGAAUUAUCUCAUUUUCUCACACGGGGAUUUGUAAGUUUUUAUUUAUUUAUUUAUUUUUAAGUAAUAAUAUGCUUAUUCACUUUAAAUACUCAAUUGAGAUAUUUAAUUAUGAGAAAUCUUAUGUGUCAUCUAUUGAAUGAAUUGUAAAAAACUUAAUAUAACAUUAAUUAAUCAUACACAUGAUAUUAAAUGAUUGGUGACAUAUCGAUAAAUAUUCCAGCUAAGUAAAUAAUUCUUAACUUUAAAAUAUGCAAAUCAACUUUCUUAUGACCUCUGUCAAGAAGAAUUAGGAUCCUCACCUAGUAUUUGUCUCUCCCAGACUCCAACCCUUUGUUUAUAUUUGAUUUUAUGAAUUUUUAAUUAUUUUACUUAAAAAAAAAAUCACAAAAUUUACAAAAGAACAAAAUUUUUUAUUAAUUUUCAAAAUUUUCUUCAAACAUUUUCCAAAAUUACAACGUGAUAAAUUUUCCUAAUUGUCCACAAGCUCGAAAGUUGAAAUUAUAAAAGCAUUUUUUUAUUUGGAAAUAGGUGGACCCCUCAUCGUCAUCACUCAAUUGUGAAUACUGUGUUGUAAACUUUUUGAUAAACGGGCAGUUUCAGCUGAUAAAAUAAGUUGCUUUAUUGAUUUAGAAAGUAGUUUGGUAUUUAGUAAAUUAUGUUGUUGUGAGUUUAAAAAAUAAAGUAUGUGCAUUUGAUAAAUUUUAUUAUAUAUUUUUUAUUAUAUGAUGAUCAAAAUAGACAUAAGUUUAAAAGGUUUUUAUUUGUAUAUUAGGAUUUAUGAAAAAAUAAUAUAAGUUAUUUUUUUGUUAAAAUAUUAAGUUUGUAAUAAGAACUUUAAAAGAUAUGGUGACUUAUUUAAUAAACUACUUAUAAAAAAUAAUUCCUUACUUUUAGAAAUUGUAAUCAAAGUGGAAAAACUUGUAAAAUAUAUAUAUAGCUUGUUAAAAAUUUAUCAGGUAUCCUUUUUAUUAAAAAUUAUGUGUUAAACCGCUCGCUUAUAGCGUUUUAACCUCGAUUCCAAAUAAGGCAUAAAAUUCAUAGGCAAAAAUAUGAAUUUACGAUGACUUACAAGACGUCUUGUGCAAGUUAAACGCGCAAAGACGUCCUGUGCAAUGUAGAAGCAUUCCCAUAUGCUUACCCCUUCAUCCCAUCAAAAUUACUGAAGGGAAGCUUUCUUCCGAUCUUUCUAUGAUAUUGAUGGGAUGCAGGGGUACGUAUAAUAUUCAUGUGAUGCAGCGGUACGUUUCCGAAUUCCGAUCUUUCUCGAACGCGUGCUUAGGGAAAUAUCACCUCGUUAAACUUCAUGGGAAUUUUCUAUAAAAGAGGGGAAAAAAAAGCGAAGAACAGGGAAACUUCCUCCCUGGGCUGUCCCACUCUUAAAAAGGACGCCAGAGAGAAGAAUUACGCAGAUUCAGUGUCAAUCAUGUCUAAUGAAUUGAUAGAGUUAACCAAAAAGGACAAUAUUCAGGAAAAGGAUGGUUGCACAGCAAUGCACAAAGCCCUCGUGGAAGGGGAUGGUGAGGUGGUUCAUUUUCUCGGAAAGCUUGAUCUCGAAUCUCGUCCUGUUGUAGAAGACAACGGGUUGAUGACGCCGCUACACAGAGCAGCUGUCGAUGGUGAUGGUGGCGUGAUUACGGAAAUAGCAAGCUCGGAAUCCCUUGCAAAGCUGACUUCCAAUGAUGAGACAGCUCUUAUCCUUGCAGUGAAGAAUUCUCAAAUCGAUGCUUUUAAAAUCUUGAUGGAGGAGACAAAGAGACAUAACCUGGAGCAUCUCUUCAGUGCGACAGAUAAGGAGGGCAACAGUAUUCUGCAUCUUGCUGCGCUGAACAAAUUAAUCGUGGUAAGCUCUCCCUGCUGUCUCUCACACUGUCGCAAAGACACACAAGACUUUUGAUUACCAAUUAAUUUGUACAUGGAGAAAUUAACCAUAGUCUUAGGUAGAUCAUGAUAGACAUAAUAUCUAUAAGAUUGAGGAGGCCAGUAGCUAGCUAGUGUCAACUCUAGAGAAUUUGAGGCGAAAAUUUUGUUUCAAAGCCUCUUUAUCUUAGGGUUAUGAUAAAACUGCUAGUUACAUUUACGCAACUCUAAUAGUUCAAUCGCAUAUUUAACAAAUAUAUAUACACAUAUACAGUUUAGCAAUAUAUAUAUAUAUAUAUAUAGCUAAAGGUAAGGGAAAAAAAGAAUUAGUUUAAAUGAGGGAAAUUUGUUUAUAAAAUUUCAUUUGAAAAAUAAAAAGUUAAAAGAUUUCUUUAGGAAAGAUUAAUUUAGAGGACUUUAUAUUAGGAACUAGAAAGUAUGCAGAUAUGUAAUAAAAUUUACUUAAUAUUAAUUAAUAAAUUUUUAAAAAUAAACUUCAAUUAUUCAACAAUUUAGGGGCCUAAAUUGAUAGUUGCCUCAGUUGCUAAGGCCAAAAGAGAAAAAUGAAUAUUCUUACUUUGUUAAAGUGAGAAUGUCACUAAAAUACAAAUAUAUAUAUAUAUAUAUGUUUUAAUACUUUAAAACUAAGUUUUAUUAUUUUUUAGUACAUUGAUAUUGUAUUUUUUUUUCGUUUAGUAGUAGCAUCCUCACUUUAUUAAAGUGAGGUUGUCGCAAUCAUUGGGAAAAUUUGUGUGGGUAGGUGCACUAUUCAUCGAGAGCCAUAAUUUAAAUAACAAAAUAAUAUUUAUAUUCUAUUCGAAUUAAGUCUUGGGUAUUUUUGUUAUGACUCCCUCAACUAAAAUCCUACUUCCCCACUCUGUUCAGGCUUCUGCCUGCUUCUGCCUCUUUAUGAUGUUUAAUAAUUGCAGAUUGUGAAUCUACUUCUUGAGAGUUCCUGCAGUCACAAAAAUCAAAUCAAUUCCAAAAACAAUCAAGGACAGACAGCCUUGGAUAUAUGCAAUGCCAAUUCUGAAGAUAGAGUUUCCAAAGAAAUUGGCUCGAUCCUUGAAAGGGCUGCUGCUCGGCAACAAAGUGCUCAUUUUCCAGAACUCCCCACCGAUACCACUAGUGGCUCCUGGAAUUUCACACGGUUUCCGAUAGAGACAAGAAACGUAAUACUGAUGGUCCUAGGAAUGAUUGCUACAGCUUUUUUCACCUCAGCCUAUGAUUUGCCAAAUGGCUUUGUUAAAGGAAAUCAUCCUCAAGGUAAAUUAAACUUAUUUAUGGAGAAAAAUUUUCUCUUAAAGGAAUGCUUAUGACAAAAUACAUUACACUAAAGUCUAUACUUCUUCUUUUUUUGGACUUUUACUUGUCCUUAUUUUAUUAAGAUAAGACAUUUCUUUUUUGUAAAAUUACUAUAUCUACAUAAGGGCAACUUCUUUUUAGCAGAAUCUUGCAGUUUGCCUGCUUCCUUUCUCAUGGAAGAUUUUAUAUGGAUAUUUUGCAGGUGAAAAUUUUGAUGCUAAGGAUGUUAUAUCCGGUAAGUUACCAGCGGUUGUCUACCUGAUGGUUUUCAAUUCGGCUGGGUUUAUUACUACUAUGGCUGCAAUUACCAUACUUGUAUGGCCGCUACAACUUAGAACAAUCCUCCUCUUUCUUGUGAUCUGCAUAUGUGUUGUUUAUGUUAUGUUUGUGGAUGAGGUCACGCCUAAGUUCAAUGUAAGUGUUGGGAAAUUCAGCGUUUCAAGCAUUGCUUUGAUGUGGUCACUAGUCGCAGCCCUUUCUCUCUCAGGAAUCUCUAUACUGAGUAUGCUGGGGAAAUACACUUCAUCCCUUUGGCGAUUCAUUGUCUGGCUGUCCAUGAAAAGAGCAAAUUGGUGGAGCAACAAUACUGUUGAAGAUUUAGAGGCUAGUUCAAUUUGAUGAUAGAGUUCAAUUUGAUUCUUUUCCUUUUUGUAGAAAUAAGUUGUUAGGAAAAUGUAAAAAGAAAGUUCCACUGAAGACAAACGUUGCUUAGCGGAUUCACUAAGUGAAAAUAGCUUUAUUCUUCUCGUUUUCCUAAUUUUUUCCUGGAAAGUAUAAAAAUCUAUUGUGUGUGUUUCUUCUAUGGAUUAGGCCUAUAUUCGCAUAACAACAUAAAUCUUUGUCACUUGUUUUUAUCUCAAAUUGUUACUGGAUUUAUUAGAUUUCUUGAUUUCUUUUUUCCUUUUUCCUUUUCAUUAAUCAAACUGAUCUCCGGAGUAAUUACAUAGGAUCUGAUUACCGACUUAAUCUCUGGAAGCGGCUGGUAUGAAAGCGCGCAAUGUUCUCUCUUUGAUUUAUCCAAGGAAUGGCAGCAACUAAGUUCAUUGAAUAGGGAAAAUGAUUUUAAUGAUUGGAGAGUAAAGAUAUGAUGAUUUUAUUGCUUCCUCAAGGGCUUGGAAGCUCUCUACGAGGAUUCAAACAUACAUUCGAAAUAAAACUUACUGAUGAUAAAAGAAGAGGUGACUUUGACUCUUUGAGAAGGCACCUGCCGGCAUAAUCUUGGGUUUGAGGUAAAGUUUGGAAGAGAUAGCUAGUGACAUCAGCAAAUCUCUUAAUUUGGAGAGAGUAUAAACUUAAUUCAUAGCACUAUCUAUGCUUUAGGGUUACUUACUGAUAACGUUUCAACAUUCGAUAAAGAAUAUUCGCAUCGUCUGUUCUAUUUAUCCAACCUUGCUGCUUUCUAGCCUUUUUUUUUUAAUAAUAGAUUUUGGAUGGAAAUGAGGAAUCUUAUUCACUAUUCUUACUUUAUUUUAGAUAAUUGUGAGCACAAAUUAUAUUCACAACAACUAAGUAAAAACAUUAAAAUAACUUAAAAUAAACAUACGAACUCUCGAGUUGACUAACAACUCUACCCCUAAUAAUUUUAGUAACAAACGAUUUUUGAUGGAGAUAUAGGUCAAUGCAUCAAUGUUUUACAAAAAUAUAUGAACUAAACAAAUAUUCAUUCUAUAGAAUUUUAUGAUAGGUCAUAUAAUGAUUAUAUUUAUAUGAUUGCGUUGAUCAAUCACCGAUAAAGAUUCUAACAAUACUAAAUUUACUUUAAAUGAUAAACAUUCUAAGUUUCUAACAUUACUAAAUUUGCUUUAAAUGGACACCUAUAAUUGUCUGUGGUGGCUAAUCUAAUUUGUUUACUAAGUUUUUUUUCAUUGUUUAAUAAGACAACACCAAAUAUAAUUUUAUUGAACUUUUCUAAUUUAUCCUAGCGCAAUUUUGUUUAGUGCACUCGUGGCCAAGCAGUCUAACAAAAAUGCCUUUAUGGGUUUGUCAUUUUUCUUCGACACACCAUAAUCGUGUACGUGUAAUUUCCAAAUUCCAAUCCAAAAUUCCAAGACCCACGUUAAGGCGAAAAGCGGGAAUGCAGGAGGAAACUCUCAAGUUAUAGCAUACAUCUCGAAGGGAAUUACAGCAUAUACACCUCGAUACUUUAAAAAUUAUCUCAAUACCCUAAAAUCAGAAUUUGCCAAAAUUUUCAUCAAUACCAUUUAAAAAACUGAUAGGAAAUUACUAAACUACCCUCAUUUUUAAACACUUCAACUCAAACGGCAUCACCUCUGCUCAAACAAACAAACACUCAUCCUCCAUUCUCAAUUCCUUCACCUCUGCAAUUCCCUCACCGGCAUCACAUCUACUCAAACAAACACUCAUUCUCCAUACAUGCUAAAUCGAACAUCAAUAUGAGCAAACUGAGCCUGAGAAGGGGAAGAUGCCACAACUGAGAAAGAGAAGCCUAGUUUAUCACUACACAAUCGCCGGCGAGCGCUAAUCCUUUAUUGUAAAAUUAUCAUAAUGUAACUACUUAAGGUAAGUAAUUCCCUCUAAUUAGUUUUCUUGUCGAUAUUUAGGGAAAAAACAAAAAUUUAGGGUUUUAUAUUGAAAAAAUAGAUUAAUUAGCUGUGGGUCUCUCAUAACAUGUUCGAAAAUAAUUUUUUAAUUGUUUUGCUACAUGCGAAUUGUGAAAUUUUGAUGGAUUAUGCCGAUUAUAAUUUCGUCAUAUAACACAUGAUUUGGUCGUGUAAGGUUAUGUAAGAUUUAAGGUUGUGUAUUACACGACCUUUAUGUAUUGUACGAUUACACGACCUUUAUGUAUUGCACAAUUACACGACCGUCAUGUAUUGCACGAUUACACUACUUUCAUGCAUUACACGACUAUUACGACUUUCAUGUAUUACACGACCUUCAUGUAUUACUUCUAAAUAGUUGAGUAUUGUUUUUUGAAUUGAUUAAGAGUUGUUUCUUGAGGUUUGAUUUAUUUUUAUUAUUUCUAAAUGGUGUUCUUCUGUGUAUUUAAUUGUAGUCAAUUUCCUAUAAUUGAUAUGUUUUUUUCUUAAUUGAUUUCAUGGAAUUAUUAUAUGCAGGCUGUCCUCAUGUAUGCAUGUAUGCUUGGGAAGAGGAAGAAAGCACUUUCAAGAUAAAAAAGAAUAAAAUGGUUGUAAUAUAUUUAAUUGCGAUGCUCAUUAGUGUAUUCUAUCCAAAUAUUGAAAAAUUUGUGCACUGAUAACUUUGUUUAUUUAUACUAAUGAAUCUAAUCAUUUCUCAAAUUGUCCGAUGCGCAAAUUUAGUGGACUUGCUACAAUUUAUGAACCUAAUUAACUGUAAGUACAUAUUAUACCAUAUAAAAUAUCAUAUAUUUAACCGUUACUAAGAAAUGCUUACAUGCUUGCCCAGAACUAGUACUUAUAAACUGACUAAACAAAAAACCUUUUUAAAUGAAAUCAAUUAAGUUUGAUUUCCCUUUAUUGAAAACGAGGAUAAAUCAAUAUUAACAUGAUACAUAAAUUGACAUCUAAAAAAAUUAAGUUCUUUCAUAAUGCAACAAAUUUUAGUCGAAAAAUUAAGUUCUUUCAUAAUGCAACUAUCUUCUCCACCAAUUCAGCAUAUGUUGUUGAUCGUGGUAUCAUCAUCCCUUUAGCCUUAGAAUCUUUGAACUUAUACUCGUCAUUUUGCUCAAUCCAUUCACCAUUGAAGAGAAUAAGCGCACGUACCAAAAUCAUAUCUGAUGAUACAAUAAAAAAACAAUAUCAAAUUUCAUAUACAAGUAACUACAUGACCUACACGACUACAUUACUUACAUGACUUACACGACCUACACGACUAUAUUUACUUACAUGACUUACAUGACUUACACGACCUACAUGACGUACACGAUGUCAAAAGGAAUUUAUGACGCAAAACAUUUUCACCAUAAAUAAAUUAUAUUGCUGAAAAAAUAAUUAAACAACCUACAUUGCAUAUAUUUCUGCAUAUAAGAAAAAAUGGUGAAAAUAAUUAAAAAUAAAACAUUAUAAUGUGAGAAAAUUUUCUAAAUUUUCCUAAAAAAAACACUUUGAUCACUGCAAAUGGUGUUCUUCUGUGUAUUUAAUUGUAGUUAAUUUCCUAUAAUUGAUAUGCUUUUUUCUUAAUUGAUUUUAUGGGAUUAUUAUAUGCAGACAGUCUUCAUGUAUGCAUGUGCUUGGGAAGAAGAAGAAAGCACUUUCAAGAUUAAAAAAAGAGAGAAUAAAAUGGUUGUAAUCUAUUUAAUUGCAAUGUUUAUUAGUGUAUCUUAUCCAAAUAUUGAAAAAUUUGUGUACUGAUAACUUUGUUUAUUUAUACUAGUGAAUCUAAUCAUUUCUCGAACUGUCCGAUGUGCAAAUUUAGUUGACUUCCUGCAAUUUAUGAACCUAAUUAACUGUGAGUACAAAUUAUACCAUUUGAAAUACCAUAUAUUUAACUGUUACUAAGAAAUGUUUACAUGCUUGCCCAUAACUAGUACUUAUAAACUGACUAAACAAAAAACCUUUUUAAAUGAAAUCAAUUAAGUUUGAUUUCCCUUUAUUGAAAACGAGGAUAAAUCAAUAUUAACAUGAUACAUAAAUUGACAUCUAAAAAAAUUAAGUUCUUUCAUAAUGCAACAAAUUUUAGUCGAAAAAUUAAGUUCUUUCAUAAUGCAACUAUCUUCUCCACCAAUUCAGCAUAUGUUGUUGAUCGUGGUAUCAUCAUCCCUUUAGCCUUAGAAUCUUUGAACUUAUACUCGUCAUUUUGCUCAAUCCAUUCACCAUUGAAGAGAAUAAGCGCACGUACCAAAAUCAUAUCUGAUGAUACAAUAAAAAAACAAUAUCAAAUUUCAUAUACAAGUAACUACAUGACCUACACGACUACAUUACUUACAUGACUUACACGACCUACACGACUAUAUUUACUUACAUGACUUACAUGACUUACACGACCUACAUGACGUACACGAUGUCAAAAGGAAUUUAUGACGCAAAACAUUUUCACCAUAAAUAAAUUAUAUUGCUGAAAAAAUAAUUAAACAACCUACAUUGCAUAUAUUUCUGCAUAUAAGAAAAAAUGGUGAAAAUAAUUAAAAAUAAAACAUUAUAAUGUGAGAAAAUUUUCUAAAUUUUCCUAAAAAAUAAAAAAACUUAAAACCUAACAACAUUAACAUACCUUAUUGGGUUGUUUAAUAAACAAUGCAUCUCCUUUGAGUUAAAGAAAGAGUAGGGGUUAAAGAAAUGAAUACAUAAUUGUAUUUGUGUAAGAAGUUAUGAGAGAUUUUAGGGGAUUUUGAGAGAAUUUCGACGGUAAGAAGAGAUGUGGGUGAAAAAAAUAUGAAGAUAGUGAAAUUGAGUGAAUUUGAUGCAUUCAUUAAGGGUAUUUCAGACUUUACACACAUUUGUCAGGGUAUCCAUGAAAACUAAAAAGUGAGGGGGUAUUUAAAAAAAUUUGUAAUUAUUGAAGGGUAUUUAAUUAAAAACCCCUACAUCUCGUUUAAAUUUGGGAGCAUCUUGGAAGUUACAUUGAAGGACCCACACGCAAAAAUGCCUUUUUGCUUUGUUAGGCGGCAUUCGUUUUUUACCUUAAAUAUGAAUUGGUCUUAAUGUUACUAAAAUCUAAAUGAGUCUAAAUGCACAUGUCAAAAUAAUAUGUUUGCUUUUUAUUUUUUAAUGUCCGAACGUAAGUUAUAAGUUGUUUGUUUUUAUAAAAUCAAAAUAUCUUAAAUCUAAUGCUUUUUCACUUGACUUUGAAAGUAUUAUAUAUGCAUGAAGUUUAAAUAUGUGUAUGUUUACAAUAAAAUAAUUUUUAUAUGUUAUAAAUAUUUAUAACAUAAGAAUUUGAUAUAUAAUUUAUAAAAAAUAAUUUUGAUAACAUCAUUUUUUGCAAUUUUACAUAAUAUUAUACAUAAAAAAUUGUUAUCUAAUAAUAAAAAAAUUGUUUAAAAUUCACAUUGAAUUUAUGUUAAGUAUUUAAUACCAAGUAAGAUUUGAGAACAAGGAAAAUUCUAAUAUGAUAUCUAAUAGUUAGGUGGGCAAUAAAUACAUUUAAUGAGAGUAUUUGUGAGAAAAAAAAUUAAAUUUUUUCAGAUAUUUUAUCAUUUGAAUGAAAGUCAGGAAAUUUUAUUUUUUCUAUUCAAAUAAAAAUGUCCUAUAAUAAGACUUCAGUUACAAAAUAAAAAAAAUCAAAAUAUCAAAACAUCUUGACUUAAGUCAAAUUGAGAUUUCAUACAUAGAAACAAACAUAUCCUUACACUUACCAUGUAAUUUCCAAUCAAAUUUUCCAAAAGUCAGGCGUAAGCAAGGUGAAGACGCGGCAAUGCAGAAGGAAAUGCGCUGGUAACCCCGUGAACUAAAGUUAUUUGGGAAAUUUACAGUAAUAACCAUUAAAGUUUUGAUUUUUUUCAUCUUAACCCCUCAAAAAUAUUUCUAUCAACAUUAGCCAUAAAAUAACUUUUGAGACCAAAAUACCCCUCCUUCAUCUCUCCCCCAAAAAGCUUGUUCUGUGGCUGGAAAUUUGUUCUGUGGCCAAAAAGCUUGACUAUGCCCGACAUGGAAUGAAACACUUACGAUAAUAUUGUUUUGUUUGGGGAUGAUUUUUGCUGAAUAUAUUAUAUGUUGCCCUAUCUAGCUGGUGCUUUCUUGAUAUCUAUAUAUAUAUAUGAUUUAAAGUUGUGGAGAGAAAGGGAGAUGGAGGAGGAAGUAUUGAUAUAACCUUGUCAUUAUGUCAUUCAAAACUUGGUGCGACAGGCACCUGUCGCACCAAGGCCUGUCGCACCAAGUCUUGGUGCGACAGGUGCCUGUCGCACCAAGUUUUAGUGCGACAGGGUGUCUGUCGCACCAAAACUUGGUGCGACAGGCACCCUGUCGCCAGAUUUAUCCCCCGACUCAAAUCAAUAAGUUCGAAAAUAACUCAUACAACACUUACGAUAAUAUUGUUUUGUUUGGGGAUGAUUUUUGCUGAAUAUAUUAUAUGUUGCCCUAUCUAGCUGGUGCUUUCUUGAUAUCUAUAUAUAUAUAUGAUUUAAAGUUGUGGAGAGAAAGGGAGAUGGAGGAGGAAGUAUUGAUAUAACCUUGUCAUUAUGUCAUUCAAAACUUGGUGCGACAGGCACCUGUCGCACCAAGGCCUGUCGCACCAAGUCUUGGUGCGACAGGUGCCUGUCGCACCAAGUUUUAGUGCGACAGGGUGUCUGUCGCACCAAAACUUGUUGCGACAGGCACCCUGUCGCCAGAUUUAUCCCCCGACUCAAAUCAAUAAGUUCGAAAAUAACUCAUACAACGAUGCCGAUUAGUUUUGGUCUGUAAAGAAGGGUAAUUUGGGGAGAAAGGUUUGUGUUUGGCUAAUGUUGAUAGAAAAAAGUUCAGAGGGUUAGUUACAUUUUUAGACUAUAUCUUUCUAUUCUUCUCCUGCAAAUUAUAUUCUCAUUUCUUUUGAAUUAAUGGAAAGCUAGAAAAUGAAAUUUCAUGAUUCAAACAUUAAAAUUUAAGUAAAAAUUAAAAUAUAUCAAGCUAAUUAAGGAGGAAAAAAUUGGGAUAUAUGAUGUGAAGUGAAGCCAACAACAGGUAUCAAAGGUCGGCAUUCAUAAAUCGUAAUGAAGAAUAAAACCUAGCCCCAAAAAAUUAAAAAAAUAAUAAAAAAAAGAAGGGAAAGAAACAUAUACAAAUAUAUAUGCAGUAGAGUCAACAUAUCAAUUUGACCUCAAGCAAUAAUCAUGAUAAAACUCAUCGACUAGGGGCAUCUCCUGAAGCAAUCUAUCAAAUUCCUUGAGUGACAAAUCUCUGAUCAGAACUGAAUUAUUAUUAUUAUUAAUGCUUUCACCUGCAAAUCCAUUGAUAUUCAUUCCCCCUUCCAUAAUCUUCGUGCCCAAAUUGCUUCUAACUUUUCUCGACUUCGACGCGGGUGAGAGAUUGCUGCCGCGUGCCCCAGAAUCUUUACCAGUCAGUUCCUGCACGACAGACUUGAAGCUCCUUGCAUCUGUUUCAAUGUACUGCGUCUUGAUCAACACAAUCUUCACCGGCUCUCUGCCACCGCCGCCACUGCAAAUGCCCGACAUGGAAUGAAACACUUACGAUAAUAUUGUUUUGUUUGGGGAUGAUUUUUGCUGAAUAUAUUAUAUGUUGCCCUAUCUAGCUGGUGCUUUCUUGAUAUCUAUAUAUAUAUAUGAUUUAAAGUUGUGGAGAGAAAGGGAGAUGGAGGAGGAAGUAUUGAUAUAACCUUGUCAUUAUGUCAUUCAAAACUUGGUGCGACAGGCACCUGUCGCACCAAGGCCUGUCGCACCAAGUCUUGGUGCGACAGGUGCCUGUCGCACCAAGUUUUAGUGCGACAGGGUGUCUGUCGCACCAAAACUUGUUGCGACAGGCACCCUGUCGCCAGAUUUAUCCCCCGACUCAAAUCAAUAAGUUCGAAAAUAACUCAUACAACGAUGCCGAUUAGUUUUGGUCUGUAAAGAAGGGUAAUUUGGGGAGAAAGGUUUGUGUUUGGCUAAUGUUGAUAGAAAAAAGUUCAGAGGGUUAGUUACAAAAAUAACAAAAUAUUUAUGAUUAUUUUCGUAAAUUUCCCAAGUUAUUUGGGGAACUUUAGAGAAAGUUACACAAGUUAUGAUAUUUUUUAUAGAGUAACGACCAGAUGGCUUGUGUACGACUGCACGCGUGUCAAGAUCUUAAAUCGAGCUAUGUUGUGGCCCCCAGAGAUGUCUCUCUCUCAGAUCCUCCACAAGGCCCAUCUUUUAUAUUUUUUGUUUAGCACUAAACUCAUCUUCUUGAUCGAUAUAUGCUCCGCAACAAAUAGCCAUUUCUCAAACUAUAUUAUCCAAAAAUGAACAAAAAGCUAGAGUGAAAUUUUGUUUCUUUAAAAAUCAAACAUGAAAAACACCAUACUUUCUGAUUACAUUCGGGACUGUAGCAUUGUCAAAUAUGGCAAAGCUAUGUAUGAUUCAUUUGCCCAAAUUCAUGUGUUAGCUAUCAGUCCAAACAAAAUACAAGCAGAUUCUGUUUGCCCAAAUUCUUCACUAGGCUAAAAAGGGGAAUUUUCAUUAUAAAAUUGGGACUGUUACAAAAUCUCAAAGCUUGAUAAUUUCUCUGGCUUCAUCAAUCUUUAUUUGCUUUUUAAAAAUAACUGUAGAUGAACUUUUAUUGAUAUAUGAUAAUUGAGUCCUUCUCUAGUGAGGAUGUUUGUAUUUUUUAAAAUGUUUGAUUCAUGAUUUUACAACAUUGUAAAAUAAUUAAGUAGUUUACAAUGUUGUAAAACCUCAAAUUCGCACUUUUAAAAAUGCAGACAUUUGCACUUAAAAAUGAUUAUAUGAUAACUGACGAGCGAGAUAGUAUAAGCGGAAAUACUUUAAGAUAAACCCCACUCACUCAAUACAACGAUGCGAAUGCAUUGGUCAAAGUUUGAUGUGGUGUUUGUAAAUCACCCUGUCAAAUGAAUCCGACUUCAUGAUGGAUAAAAUAUCGUUCUAAUCCAAAUGACUCGGACAUUGUGAUAGAGUAGAUAUCGUUCUACUCCAAAUGACUCAACAUCAUGAAAUUUUUAAAUAAUACUCAACAAUGUGAGGUUAAGGAUAAGGAUAACGAAUCCAUCAAGGGAAAAAAAUAUAGAGAAUUUAUUGAAUAACUAAAUUAUAUUAAUAAUGACAAGACCUCUUUAUUUAUAAUAAGUAAAAAUCUACUUCCCAAUAUAACUCAAAUAGGAAAACCGAAUCACAAUUAAACUAGAAAUAAUAUAUAUAUAAACACCUAGCUAAUAAGAUGCUAAUUAAAAUAAAAAUAUCAUAAAAUAUUCUAAUAACCUACUGCGUCAAUAACACAUCCAUUUUUAUUUUUAUUUUAUUUUAACACUCAAUCAAUCGGUUUUCGGCUUAGUUCGAUUGAAAAAUCAAAAACUGAUUGUUCAUUUUUUUUAACCAUUCAGUUUUUAUUGACCAAAUUGAAUGCCCAGCCCUACAUUAGCGUAACUAACUGAUAACGUGUCAACAUCAGUAAAGUGUUUUCGUUCUCCAACAUUGUUGUGUUACUAGCCUUUUUUUUUUUGGUCAAUAAUAGGUUUUGGUUGGAGAUGAGAAAUCUUAUUCACUACUCUUACUUUAGGUAAUUGUGAGCACAAAUUAUAUUCACAACAACUGAGUAAAAAUAUAAAAAUGACUUAAAAUAAACACAUGAACUCUCGAGUUGACCAACAACACUACCCUCAAUGACUUGAGUAACGAGCGAUUCUUGAUGGAUGUAGGUCAACACCGUGACCGUGUGUAAGUGUAAUUUCCAAAUUCCAAUCCAAAAUUCCAAGACCCACGUUGAGGCGAAAAGCAGGAAUGCAGGAGGAAAUUAUCAAGUUAUUGCAUAAACAUCCCAUUGAAUUUUGGAAGCAUCUUGGAAGUUAUAUUGAAGGGCCCACACGCAAGAAUGCCCUUUUCCUUUCUCACACUCACCGUGUAAUUUCCAAAGGCCUUCGUAAGUAAGGUAAAGACGCGGCAAUGCAGAAGGAAAUGCGCAAGUAACCCGGCGAAAAAAAGUUAUUUGCGAAGCUUCAAAGAAAGUUACACAAGUUAUGACUUAUGAUAUCUUUCCCAGUCCACGACUGCAUGUAUCAAGGUUGUGAGGUUCACACGUCUCUCUCGGAUCCUCAACAAAUCCAUCUUUUAUAGUUUUUCUAUAGCACUAAACUCACUUCUCAUCUUCUUGGCUACGCAACAAAUAGCCAUUCCUCAAACCACGCAAUGCAAAAACGAACAAAAAAAGUAGAGACAACAUUUGUUUCUUUAAAAAUCAAACUGAAAAACGCCAUGCUUUCUGAUUGGACGGUGGCAUUGUCAAAUUUGGGAAAGCUAUGUUGAUUUAUUUGAUUAUGCAGAAACAAACCAAAUUGCAGCGUCAAUAAACCCAGCUAUAUUAUUCAUGUGUUAGUUAUCAGUCCAAACAAAAUACAAGUAGAGUCAUGUUCGCCAUAAUUCUUCUCUAGGCUAAAAAGGAGAAUUUUCAUUAUAAAAUUGGGACUGUUACAAAAUAAUUUCUCAGGCUUCAUCAAUCUUUAUUCACUUUUUCAAAAUAGUUGUGGAUGAACUUUUAUUGAUAUAUGAUAAGAGAGUUGUUCUUUUGUGAAGAUGUUCACAUUUUUUAAAAUAUAGAUUUAAGAUUUUACAAUGCUGUAAAAGAUUUUUAUAAUGUUGUGAAAUGAUUCAUUAGUUUACAACAUAAUAAAUUUUUUCUUAUAAUAUUGUACCAAAUUCGCUUUUUAGAACAUGCGAACAUUCGCUUUUGUAAAUGUUAAUAUGAUAAUUGACAUAGUCAGGUAGUGUAAACAGAAAUAUUGUAAGAUAAAAUCCAGCUUACUCGACAUAAAAGGCGGGAAUACAUGGGUUUAAGUUUGAUAUGGUAGUUGUGAAUCACUAUGUCAAACAAAUCCCAUUACAUGAUAGAUUAGAUAUCGUUUCAAUUCAAAUGAUUGAACAUCGUGAGAUUUUUAAAUCACACUCAACAAUAUGAGGUUAAAGAUAAAGAUAACAUAACAUAAUUAAAUGGAAAUAUAUAUAUCUGCUACAAAUACUAAAACGUCAAACACCAAAGACAGACAGUGUAUUAUCUGAGAGGAUUGACAAGGGAUGAGCUUGACAAGAGAGGCUUCAAAGUGUCCGACAUUGCGCAAAUGUAAGCGGCGGCCAUUGAGAAUGCAGAAACUAGGGACAGUGGCCAGAGCGGAAGCGCGCUGAAAAGAAUCAUCAUCAAUGCUACGGAUAUGAAAAAUGUUAAGGAAUUGAAGACAAUGGCUGAUAGGAUAAAAUAAGGAUGUUGAUUCGCAAUCUGGCAGAAGGGACUUAGGCGGCUAGAAUUGCAUUCGUAGGCCUGUUCAGCUCUGCAUCCCAGGAUUUUCAAUUGUACGUGGAAGGUUGUAGUUGAUAACAGUGCUGAGAUGAGUAAUAAUAGAUGAUAUACAUUAAUGCCUUUAGAGUGCUUCUUUCCUGUUUUCAUGGGCCAGUUAUGCCGCAAAUUUGAAGCAGCUGAUGAGCUAGCUGUCUUCCAAGGUGAGAUGUCUAAAGCGGUAAAAUCACUAGUGCCCAUAGUUUUAUUCUUGGAGAUGGAGUUUGAGCCUGGAAAAUAAUUCAAUAGCUGCAGAAUUCAAACAUGAAAUUACAACAAACUAAAAAUUAAAAAAAGAAAAAAAACUGUUGGUGGCAAAAGAGAUUUAGCUAGAUUAGUUAGUAAAACGAACACAGCGAUAUAAAAGGUGACGAUCAAAUGAAAACUAUCCCUGACUACGAAUAAGCAUAUUGAAGAGUUUAAAUAGCUUCAGUGGAAAUCAAAUUACGUAGGAAUCGCGAAAGAAAGAUUGCGGAGUCAUCCCGAAA